rnacentral:lncRNA from 1 species
GAACAUGUAAGCCGCAUAUGAGAGCUCAAAUAUGAAUUAUCCAUACAUCACAUGCUCAUAAGUCACAAGUUUAUAACAAAAUACAACAAGUGUUCACAAAUAGAGAUUGAAGUAGUCCACCAGUGCUCAUACAACAUGUUUAUUUAAUGGUUCACCAACAGCGGAAAGCACACACAACACUACGACACAUCAGUUUUUCACAGCACACCAUCUUCAUUCAUUGCAACCGGAACUGGAGCAACCACGGUCUUCAUUCAAGGCGAAGAUAGCUCGACAGGCCCAGGUGCUUUUCAGGUGGCUUGGAGCAACCACGGUCUUCUCCUCCAGCCCGCGACAUCAGCCAGCAGCUCGCGGUCGUGCUCUGCGGUGCUCUGCAGCUCGCGAACGACCAAGCUCGCGGUGCUCUGCGCGUCUACGCGUGGGCGCGUGUGCCUGUGCUGUGCCUCCCUCGAUGCAACGCCGCGGCCAGGGGAUGGGAGGAGGACUGGUCACCGGUGCAGGCGAGCAGCAGGCGCGCGGCAAGGGAACGGGAGGGAGGCCUGGACGCGGGACGCCUGGUGGUGCAGGUGCGGCGGGCGGCGGCCGACUGCUGCGACCUGCGAGAAGGGAGCGGAGCGGGCGAGCGGCGGCCAGGGGAGUCGACUGGGGUGCUCACUGCUCAGGACUCAGGAGGAUUGAACAGAUAGGGUUUGGUAUUUUGGGCUGUAUUGGGCUCAUGGGCUAUGCUGGGCUAGUUUUCCGGUUUUAUUACAAACGGGAUAAAAACGGGAUAUCCCGGUUAAAUACGGUAUUCCGUAAAUACGGACGGAAAAAUGCGUUACCGUUUUCGAUCCCGCUCCCGUUUCACUCCAUCCCGUUUUCGGUCCCGUUUCCGUUUAUCCCGUAAAAAACGAAAACGAACGGAAAAAUACGGUAUACGGAAGCGGACGGAACGGGAUUUCUCACGUCCGUUUUCAACUUUAGACCCCAGCUUUGGCCGACCAGUCACGGUUCUCAGCCAGUCGGUAGGAUCUUUGGCGUCCGACGCGGACUUCACUGCGUCCCGCUCGUUGGCGGCGUCGGCGUAGGUUUGUGCACGAUCAUAUGUCUAGUUUUUUUUUGUUUUAUUUUUUGGAGGUAGCAGGGUUCGAACCUGAGCAUUGGCAGGUGGAUUUGGGCAUUUUCGGAGGCCGCAGAGGCUGCACGUUGAAGCCUGGGGAUGCAGUGCGUUGAAGCCUGGGAUUUGAUACAAACAACUGUGGCCAUAGGAUUGGGUUGAAGCCUCUCAUGGAUGAUUUGUAGCCUUUGAUUUUAAUAAAAACAAUUUGUUAUGUGCAUUUUUUUGGGUACACAAAGAUUAAAUGUUCUCACUGGGGACACUUUCUUUGGUGAACCUAGUAUAAUUUUGAUUGGUCCAUUAUAGUAGAGAUAGAAACUACGAUGGUUUCUGUAUUAAGAGUGCCCUAAUAUUGUGUUGUGGCCCACAUCCACAUGAAUGAGCCGGGUGACAGAGAAAUCUACCCACGUAUAUUCAGUUACCAUUUUAUGUCCCUCUGUCUCUUUAUAACUUCUAUUUCAAAUUUUACUUGGACAUUUCUUUGGGAGGAUUAGGUGUAUGGCCCUAGAAAAAACAGACAAAAAGCUAAAGCCGAAUAAAUUUUGUUUUGAGGCCAUAGAGCCAAAUUCAAAAAAAAGAGAGUCAUAUACCUAAGACAAAAUUUUUCCAAGGUCAUACACCUAAUUCUCUCCAUUUCUUUUGUUAUGUUGGUAAUUUUUAGUAUAAACUCACAACAUUUUUCUUGUUAAGCUAUAAUGUUUUUCUCAAAGUCUAGAACAAUUUUUUGAGCAGAGAGUUUCUUCGUCCUUCAUAACUUAUAAUCCUUCAAUAGGGAUCCGACAGACCUAAUCUCUCUCAUGUCCGUAUAAGUUAGAGUAUCAUGUCUAAGCAUGGUAUUAGAGUCUAAUCCCAAAACAAAUUGAAAUAUAACAUUUUCAUGGUCUGCCACUCAAUAAUGUGCGUGUACAAGGUUUACCCAUGACGAGGAAUCUAGCUCCAUAACCAAUUGCAAAGCAUGACAUAACCAUUGAUAAAUCUCUAGAGACAAAUUAAAAUGCAUGACAUAAUCACUGAAUAAAUUUCUAAACUGUAUGGCAUACAAGUGGGCGUGCAACAUGUUGAACGUUCCUUGUAGGAAAACACAAAGAACACCUGUAAUCAAUUCCAGCAUUAACAGCUGCGUCUAAGUGCUGCUAUGCAUUAGAUACAUAUAUGUAUCUAGAAAAGCUAGAACAACUUACAAUUUGAAACAACGAGAGUACCUGACUGAUGCCUAGUAAAGAUCACAGACAACUCAAAAUGAAGAACGAUAGACUAGCACUAACUGCAUGUUAACAAAUGUACCAACAAACAAGAAGACACAUAUGUUCUUAGCACAUUGCCAUAUUCGUUACUCUUUUUCAUUGAUAAAUUCAUAGAAAAUUCUCGCCCAGAAACUAGAGAAUUACAACCAGAAAACAUCUGUGUGCCCACUAAAACAAAAAAUCACCGGUAACCAGUUGCCUGCUCUAUUAGCGAACAACAAAGACAGGCUAUCCGUUAACUGUUGCUGGUAGUGAAGGAACACUACAACAUACACACUUCACCACUUACAACGGUGAUGGCUCUUUUGCUCCCCAAAGUUACUGUCACCAACGAUUCUCAUUUUGUUCAUAUCUGCAAAGGACGGGAAAAGAACCAUCAGCAAAGCUAGGAGCACACAGAUAAAGAGCAUACAUUGCAACAUAAGAAUACCAUCCAAGAACAGUUUCCGGAAGUGGUAGCUGCAGGAAAUCAAUACUAGGGCCACGAGUUCAUGAUGGAAUAAUCACAGUUCACCAAACAACCACCAGUUUUAGUAAUAAAAACUAUCUUCAAUAAAUUGAGUGCAGCAAACAUAAAGACUGCCCAUCCAUCAAGUUCACACAGAAUAGAACCACUUGAUGGUAAUGAAGUUAACGUAUGACAAGUUAAUCUUUGCAAAAGGACAAUAUUUCUAAUUCUGAAAAUAUGGUAAAAAAGACACCCCUUAAAUCCUAAAUCAAGAACUAAUGUGUCAGCAUUGCUGUUUUGCUAGGUGUAGACAACACCCAUCAGACAAAGAGUCGUUGCCGGACAGACUAUAGAACUCUCUUCGCGUGGGCUACAGACCAAGAGGCUGCAGCAGGCCACUAUAAGGAACCCGUGAGUCUAUGGGCCGGACUGGAAGAACCCUUAAGGAGCCAUCAUCGAAUAGCUUAGCCUUUUCCAUAUAUAUAUAUAUAUAUAUAUAUAUAUAUAUAUAUAUAUAUAUAAGAUAGGAUAUGAAAUCUUGUAACAAACUAUCUUUGAACUCUAAUAGCAGACCUCGUCUUACAUAGCCUCUUCCUACUAUUCUUUCCCUAUUCCGAAUUUAUGAUUCCAUGCUAUCAUGCCUAACAUAAUGUACCUAUUUUUAUUUUUUAAUUCCUACUCUAUUGUACAAGCACAUUGAGUUACAAAGCUAUAUGCAAUAAGAUAUUAGACAUGCAUGGAACACCAAUAUUUGACAUUGUAAAAAAAAGGUGUUACAGCUACCCUUCCAAGUCUGGAGGUACUACAGUUGUAUAGCAAUAGCCAGUACACUCAUGGGUAAUGCUACCUCAUAACGUUGGGCUGCACAAUAUCAUAUCAAAAUCACAUAUAUGAGGACCUGGCCUAUGCACAGUUGUGGAAGAGUUGCUCCUUACUUGUUUCCUCAAAAUAAACUAGGAACACAUGGAAAAUUAAAUAUGUUACCUGAAAGGGAGGUCAAAUUUGAUUGUUAUGGCUUCCAAAUGUAAACAAGAUGUGGCAUUAUCGUUCACUUGGCAAUCAAGAACUAGCUAAGCUAGCGAACAAUGGAUCAGAAACAUAGUAAAGGGGAGGCUAAAUAAUGAAAGGCCAACAAUCUUAGUAGCAUUAAACCAAAUAGUAUAAUAGAUGUAACAAGGAACAAAACCAAUAUUAAUCUAAAAUGAUCAAGCAACAUUUAUUAGAACACCUUUGUGGGUAGGAAAAUACCAAAACGAUUUAAUGCAACCUCAGUUACUCGAUGCAUGAAAUUGCUCUCUUAUCGACUUCCCAGAAUUUAUUCCAUUCUAGAACAUAUUUGAACAAAUCUUGCUAAGAAAAUUGAAGACUCGAGGAACAUUCCCAAACCCCUAACACCGCACAAGGGAGAGAAGUUGCAGCUCCCAAGCCAAAAAUUCUAGAGCUCCUAAUUCCUAGAAUGAAACAACAGAAUAACUUGGAAGUGAGUAGCAGAACCUCGCCGCAGAUAAUAAAAGGAUAUGCUGGAGCCCUAAGCCCUUGUCCUAUGACAACAUGUCAAAGCCAGUGCAUGUGACUUGAAGGCUGUAGCCAUGGGCAAAGGCAGGUAUUUAGAAAGCUUUGGUAGCUGCAAUACCUACAGUUUGUACAAAAUACAAAAUAUAUGUAUUAUAUACUAGUAAAUAUACAUGAAAUACAUAUGUCAAUAUGUUAUACAAGUUAUAUUUGGUUCUUAUAAAUCCCGCCACACCUAAAAGUAUUCCUGCCUCUGCCACUAGCUGUAGCUGAAAGCCAGAGGCCUCAUUGGGGCCUUAUCAUUGUGGUUCUAUCUGUAGGGCGAUAUGGUGCCUCACCUAGCGGUAUCUCACUGGGUGGGAUCUAUGAGCAAGGGCACUACUGGCCACAACACGAAAAAAGAAGCGCCUACAAUGGUCAAGACAAAUCAAAGCACCAAGAGUUGACAUAAGCCUUUAUCUCGACAAACUAAGCUAGGGCUGGGCCUCCUUCGAUGGCCUAACACUACAUAGGUAUAUUAAGUUCUGCUUUGACUCGACCCGAGCUACAGCCACCCCCACCACACACACAGAACCAUCCCCAACCCAGGACCUAUAGUCACCCCUGAAGCUGCCUCCCUUCCUCAGCCAUGUGCUUGGACUUUGCUGUGCUACCACCAUAGCACCACCCGAGCCGGUGGUCUAGACUUCAAACCACAAAAUUUUAGACAAUUAACCUAUCAGAUCUUUGGCGUGUGCAAUAACUAGGUCCAUUUCUUUUGAAAGUUUCAUGGUUUAGCAGUCUCAGCAAAGGUUGUGUUUCCAAAACUAAAUAAGUGGACAAAUAAAACAAAUGGAUCCAUGAGGAUUCAAACUGAAACAUGAAACCAGACUUUAUGACAUACUAUUCUUUCAGAUGAAUCUACCAUGAACAAUACUUACCCUAAGCCCAUUCGCUAAAUGUUAAAUGCAAAAAAAUAGUAGAUGAUAUGUUGAACUUUAAAAUGUAAAUGAGAUUCCAUGUAUACCAAAGCUAAAUCUUGAAAUAAAUGGAAACAUUAUAAAAAGGUAUCAACAAAAAGACACCAAAGAUAAGAAAGCCGUAUUAAAAUUAAACAUAUUGCAAAACAAAAUAUUUGGUCAUAAGGAAUUCGUGCUACUAGUUCGAAACAGGGUCAUCUUUGACCUAAUUACAAUUGCAGUACAACAGGAUUAAUCUCAAGUAUUUUGACGAAAAUGGGAAAAAAUGAGCAUGUUAAGGACAUAAAAUGUACAAUCUAGACUAAACAAGAAAUCAUGUUUGGACAUUCAUUGUGAUUUGUUUACAUAAGUACUAUCUGAAGCUCAUAGAUCUCAUCUAAAAAUUGAAAUAGCUAGAAUAUAAAAGAAGUCUAGCAAUACUACACAUGUACUCACGUGCAGGCAUAUAGAAACCAUGUCCCACAACAGACCAAAUCAUCACAAGUAACAUUAUACUUCCUCCAUUGUAACUAUAAGUCAUUUGUAAGUUUGUCCCAAGUCAAACUUUUUAGCUUUGACCAUCCAUAGCUAACAACAAAAACAACAAAGCCUUUUAGUCCCAAGCAAGUUGGGGUAGGCUAGAGUUGAAACCCAACAUGAGCCCCUAGUUCACAUGAUAUGUACUCACUAUGUCCUAGAAUGAUAGGCAUAUUUUGUACAGCGAAGAAACAAAAUUUUACAAACUUUGAUCAACAAUUGGUCGCGUUAUAUACAAGUUUAGGACAUAAAUUUGCAUUAAUAUAUUUCAAAAAGUGCCACUAAGAUGAUAUUGAUUCUUUAGCAAAUGACAACAUAGUGUAAGAGAAAUUAAGGGUCAACAUCUAUUUUGUAUGACAUUUGCCUUAUCAAAAUACGCUUAUCAUUCUGGGAUAGAGGUAGUAACUCUUUAUAUUUGAAACAACAUUUUUAUAGAUACUUAUAGACUUAUAGUCAAAGUUCCAUCUUGUAGGCCACAUCAAUUUCAUGAGUAACAAAUACUAAUUGGCAGAGUCAUUUUGUUAGCCAUACCACUAGAAGCAUAUUGUAUGGAUAAAUAAAUGCAUUUCCCCUAAAAAUUGUUUUGACCAACUAAUUCACUACAAAUAUUAAUGGUCAAACAUCAACAACAACGAACAAGAUUUACGAAACAUUACGAGAACCACCAACAGAGGAGCUUGAUGACCUAUAGUCAUUUGAUUCUAAAUAAGAAAUAUCCAUCAACACCAGAAUAUCAAUAUACAAAGUUAACAAACUAACUUGUUUCAACCAAAUAUACUAAAUCAAAGAAAUGCACACAGCAAUACUACAAAUACUAAAAGCUAAAACUAGUGACUAUCCAAAGAAUUGAAUUCAAGGACGCUCAUCACCUCCAAUAACCCUACCCCACAACAACUGCUGCCUCUCAUCCUCCUCUUCCUCUUCGUCAAUCUCAUCCCCGUAUCCCAGCUCCACGUCGCCACGGUACCCAAGUUCACUCCCUUACCUAGACUUGACAACUGUCGCCUCCAUGCCAUGCCUACCCCACCGCUCGCGGCACCAAUCCCACCAACAGGAGCCGGGCCGAGCUAUGUCGCAAUCGGCACGUCCCUCAUCCGCACCUCCCUGACAUUGGACGCCCACAUCUCGCUAGAGUCACUGGUGCCGCUGCCACUAGCGCCACACAUGAAAGGGAAAUUGGAACACGUGUCGGAUCUCCGACGGUCGCUGUUGUGGCUGGACACUGAUCGCGAUCACGUACCACGAUAGUGGCACUUGCGGAGCCCGAGCCACUAGAAGGAUCUGUCUUUACCGCCCCGAGGGGGCAUGCGUCGGAGUCUCCACAUUAGGGAGGUGCGCCGAGGAGGGGGGAGCGGUCCGAGAGACAGGGCUUCUUGUGGAAGGGAUGCUAGGAGGUGAUGGCCUCGAUGAGGGGGAGGUGCGGUGGGUGGUGCCACAGCUGUAGGGUUGAAAGCAUCUAGGCCUCUAAUGGGUUUUGGUGAUUAAUGACAAUGUUGAUUACUAUGACUAACAUGUGUUUUGCAGAGGAAAAAUCAUUUGAGUUAGGUCAUUAUUGACGGUCCUUAAGUACCAAAUAUAAGCAUCAAAUAAAUAAAGAAAAGGAUCCAAAUGCAACUAACACCCAGACUUAGGGUUUUAUCUGACAGAAUUCCACAAGUUUUGGUGUUUGUCUAUUUUCUGCAAGGAGUUAUCAGGAAAUAUGGAGGAAAGGCCCACACGUCGGGUUUACAUAGAGAUAUCGACAUACCGCGCAAUUAUCUUACAUCUAGAAGACUCCAGAAGCCACGGGAAGAAAGCGGAGGCCGAACGGAGCCAGGCACUAGGCGCCCGCCCAGUUGACCUGGGGGCCCGCCCCCCUGCAGAGUUGGAUCAGGACUCUCUUUCGGGACCAAGCUCCACCGACCUAAAGGAUCAAGGAUAACCGUCCAAUCAAUGUCGGUUUGAUCCAACGGCCCACGUUCACUUGAGGGGACUAUAAAACCAGACCCCCUGACCCCUGGAGGAGACAAGUUCAUCAUAGAGUUGAGAGGAGCCCUCGAAGGAAUACCUCUCCUCUAAAUAAAUAUUUAUUUUAGGCUUAGCAUCCAAUGUGAGUAGAAAUAGAUCUUCUAGUUUCUACUAGAUUGAGAGAUAUAGAGUGGAGGUGUAGAUUGGAGGAAGCCCGACCUGUCGGUCCGAGGUUGUACCUGCAGGAUCAAGUCUUCUAACCCAAGGCUUGCUCCUAGGAUUCUUUAGUAAUUCUACUUCUAAUUCUAGUAAGUUCUUGUUUUAUUGUUCUUUGGUUUAUGAGUUUACUUUAAUCUCUUCCGGUUGAGUAUUAGAGUAUUCAUUGCUAGUGUAAACGUGGUGUUUAGGCUAGGGUACUCAUAGAUAUCCCCUGACAACCUGGACCGUGGUAGUAGCGAGGAACGUGACAUUUUCGAGUUACUUUUGCAGCCCACAUCUUGUUAGCAGGACGGGUAGGUUUAUAGGUGCGGGUCGAACAUCCUUUGUGGUGUCUAGAUUUCGUAAGCUUCCCCAAUAGAACAGUAGAUCAUCCUUACCAAGGUUAGAACAAGACUACGGUUGCAGUCUUCUCUAUACAUCACUCACAUCGAGAAACAUUCUUUGUAGCCUAAAGGGGUAGUAGCAAUAGAUUUGGUUAGUCAGAUGCACCCUUUCUCCCAGUGGUAAAAAUAUAAAUACGAUACUCUAGAUAACCUCCCGGGUGAAAUGCUCACCGAUAUCCAUGCGCUCGCGGAUCAUUUUCUGAUUGCGUUACCAAAUAUCAACAGUCAUGGUAAUGGUGAUCAAUGGACUAGGACAUUCAUACCGACUUAAUGGUGGAAAUCGUUUCGGUUUUCAAAGGAUUGUUGGACAUCGUCAAGACUAGACUAGGUCUAAGUGCCAUUUGGAGUUGAAGAGCACUUAGAGUAGUUUAGGACUUUUUUCCUUUAACGUACUAUUAAGGGGGCAUUGAACGGUUAGCUUGACCUAGACAAGGCUUUAGGUUUAGGUGUAGUGCACACUUGAUAAAUCUAGCACUAGGCAGCUUAGAUGAAGUCCUUAGAUCGAGAGAAUUAAACUUUGUUUUGGAAAGUUCAUGAUUCAACGAAGUUUAGGUUGUUUUGGAGCACCACACGCUGGCACCAGACACCAUAGUGUUACUAUUGGCACUUCCGGUGUAUGCUGGAGUUGAGCCAGUGCGCCGAGUGCCUAGGGUUUGUUGACGGUCGAUAACGUAAACUUCUAGUAUAACUUUAAACCUGAAGGAGAACAUAAAUACACACUAGUAUAUGGUUUAAACUAACAAUUUCACAAGUUUUCUAUAUUUUGUAUUUUCUAAGGUGAAUUUCAGGAAAGCUAAAAAAGAGGGACUCUAGUGCAAAACAAACACGGAAAUGUAUCCGCCACGGGAAACGUCGUGAGAAGACUCAGGAAGGAUCGAGAAGUCACCCAGAGCAACGGGGGGCCUGGCGGCUGCCAGUUGGGGCCGGCCGGCCCCACCUUAGCGCCGGCCGGUGCCCCCCUUUAGGGUUUCGCCCCCCUCUUCUAGAAGCUUCCUCCACCGCCUUUGAUGAGUCAUCUCGGCCCUUGGUUAAGUCGGUUUGAUCCUACGGCGCACGUGAAUCCCACCGGACUAUAAAUACGUGCGUAGACCCCCUGAAGAGAGCCACUUCAUUAUUCAUCAAGGCCUGAAGCCAUCAAGCAUCAAGCGCUUUUAAGUUCAUCAAGAGCCUUCUAGUUCAUAGUUCUAGUUAGUUAGAUUAUAAGUAGAGGAGAUCUAGUUCUUCAUCGGGAUCUAGAGCCUCUAGCAUUGGUCUGGAGCGCAAGAGUUCGGUAAUAGAUCUAGUUCUUACUUUAUAGUAUUCAAUUGUAUAUUAGGGAGACUUUAUUUUUAAUAGAUUCAUAUGUUCUUAAUUACAUUAGUCAUUGUCUACUUUGAUUAUAUGUCUAGGAUAGUUGGUUUGAUCUUAUUGAAUUCAUGUAAUUGCUCGUAUAGCGUUUACCUAAUCGAUCGUUGGGUAGAUGAUAGACAAUAUAUAGACGUGGUGUCUAGAUACCUUAUUUGUCUGCGAGUGCCCCAUGACAUGUCGGGUCGUGUGGUAGUCUACGUAGGUGACAGCUGCGUUGGUUCCUCUGUAGUCCACCCUCCGUACGUAGGGCUAGCAUGAGCGCGGCCGCGAAAGAGGUGACGGUUGCGUCUUAAAACCCUCAUUAGUUGAUGUCUCUUUACAUGUAAUUAUGAUAUAGGGUUUACUUAAUGAUGAUUUCUGGAUGUAAUUGCACUAAUUAGAGUUAUUCAUUGGCGUAGUUAUACUUAGAUUCAACUCCCUAGUUUAUCCAUUGGCUAACUAUUAUUAUGACUAGUAGAUGCUCUGAUGAUUAUCCUUAUUUAUGAUACUUGAUGAUUAUGCUAUUACUAUUAUUUAUCUAUAUUUAUCUUGUGACCUCUGCCUGUUAUGAGUAGAUAUUAUAGGACUUGGGUAAUAUUAUUCAUCCUAUAAUAGAUGUAGUUUAACUCUUAGCCUUCCCAGUGGUAUAAAUAUAAAUUGAAAACCUGGAUACUUCUCUAGGUAAAAUGCUACAACGGUAUAAUUAUUUGUCCGCUUGUAGAACCCAUUUAGUUUAUAAUUAUAUUCAUAAUUGUUAUUCUCUGUCUUUACAGUAGAACAUGUGAAUCUAAAUUAAAUUCCUAGCAAUAUAAUUAGGGAUGACAACCUACUUUAUGCUUAGGAAUGUUUGAGUGGUUAGUUGCUAUUUGACAAAUUAAUUAAAUACCAUGUAUUUCUAGUGUUGUUACUAGGAGUAGGGUUUAUCUCUAUUUUUAGUGAUGAUGAUAGUAAAUGUCAACAGGGUUAGGCACCAGACGCACGCACCGGACCCUACGGGGUGCGUCCGGUUCCUUACCAGAGAAGUUGUUUUCUUGGUUUCUCACCGGACGAGUCACGCUUGAGGUCACCGGACGAUCGCUGAGCAUCCGGUGUGAGCAGUUCGACCAAGUACAACUAGUCGUUGGGGUUGCACCGGACACUCUGCGGAGUGCGUCUGGUGCAAUAUCAAGCGUGUCCGGUGCACUUGUUUUUUUGUGGAAUUCGAGUGGUCGGCCCUUGGAUUUGAUGGGAAGUAUUUAUACUCCCCCAUCUUAUCUAUGAGAGUUCUCUUGCCCAUUUGAUCAGCUGAGAAACACCUUGUGGUGCAAAGAGAAGCAAGAACCUAGAGAGGUUUGAGAAUUGAGUGAUUUUUUGAGUGAAUCCUUCUCUAGUGAGUUCCUAGAGUUCAAGUGUGCAUCCACCACUCUCUAGAGUCUUGUUUGGGUCAAUGAGAGUUCUUUUCUUGUUACUCUUGGUGAUCACCAUUACCUAGACGGUUUGGUGGUGAUUGGAGGCACAAAGACCGCCCAGAGUUCUUUUGUGGGUGGCUCGUGUGAAGCUUGUGAGUGGUUGUGGGAGAUUCACCACGAUGGAGUGUCGAAAAAUCAGCUUGUAGAGAGUACUUGGUCCUUGCGCGGAAGCACCACAUCCCCCCGAAUGUCAUAUGUGUGGCCCUGCCUGAGCUCCACACCACAUCGCCCCUCACCUCAUCUGCCACCGGCGCCCCACGCGAGUGGGGGCGUGUGCCCAAUGUGGCAGUUGCUCAACAUCGACCCGCCCCGUUCUCCUCUUGCUGACCUAGGGGACAAAUCCGCCUCAGACGGUGCUAGAACCCACCAAAGCGGCAGUGGAUAGGGAGAAGCCACUAUUCUCAAGUUUUCUAUGCAUACAUUUCAUAUGAAAAUAUGAUUUCAGGAGCUUCUAUGGUGAAGCUAGAAAACAGUUUCAUAAACCGUCCAAAAGUCCCUACCAAUUACCAAAGGGCCUUCAUUCCAAAUUAUAAAUUAUUUCGAUAAUAUUGAAGAGUUAAAACAUUUUCAAGUUUGACCAAAAUUAUAAAAGAAAAUACUAAAAUUUGUAACAUAAAAUCAAUAUACUAUAAAAAUAUAAUUAAAGAAAAAUCUAAUGAUACUUAGUAGGUAUCAUAAUAGUUAUUAUCUUGUUAUAAAAAAUUGGUGAAAUUUGAGAUACUUUAACUCUCCAAGAUUUUUAGAAUAUCUUAUAAUUUAGGAUGGAGGGUGAAAUACAUCCCUUAACUUUUGAAACCGUGCAUAUUACGUCCCUAAUAUGGUUAUGGGCGGUUUUGAAGGCAAUUUGUCUUUUUUAUUUUUAUUUUUUUUGGAUGAAUAUUUAUAAAAUUAUAGUAAAUCAAAUAAAAUUGAUAAAAUAGUAAAUCUAUUUUUUUGUACUCUAGAUAAGUAGAUAUAUACAAUGAACAUAUAAUAUGUUAUGCUUUAGUAUAAAGUUUUUGUUGUAACUUUAGAUCUGUGUUUUUUAUAAUUAAUUAGAAUAAUUCAUAGCUAUAGUUUGUAUGGUCCAAUUGUAGUGAAUUUUUUAUAUUGGAUUAUUUAUUAUAUGUUUAAACUGUGAUAAAAAUUUAAUACUCAUUAGAUCAUGUAUAACUUAGUUAUAGAUUUAUUAAGAUUUAACAAGCAUAAAUCUAAAUAAAUCUAUAAUAACUAAGUAAUACAUGAUGAAAGUUUUACUACAACCUAAGCGUAGAAUAAUUAACCCACCAUAUAAAUUUUGUUACAAUUGGACCAUAGAAAUUGUAGCUAUAAUUAGUCUAAUUAAUUAUAGAAAGCAUAGAUCUAAAGCCGCAUCAAAAAAUUUAUACUAAAACAUACUAUAUUAUAUAUUCAAUAUGUAGAUCUACUCAUCUAAAGUCCAACAAAAUUGGUUUUCUAUUUUAUGAUUUUUAUGUGAUUUAUUAUGAUGUUUCAAAAAAAAGCUGAAAUAAAUAAAAAGAUAAAGAUAAAACCAUUUUCAAAACCAGGUGAGGGAUCUAAUGUGCACGGUUUUUAAAAUUGAUGAUGUAUUUUGUCCGGUUCUAGAGUUUAGGGAUAAAAAUCAGAUUUUCGUGAAAGUUGAGGACCUAAAGUGGACUUUUUCCUUUUUGUUAUUGCAAAGGUUAAGGCCUUGUUUAGUUCAACCAAAAAUAAUUUUUUUUUCAAGAUUUCUCGUCACAUCGAAUCUUAGGAUACAAGCAUUAAAUAUAGAUGAAAACAAAAAUUAGUUACACAGUUUGUCUGUAAAUCAUGAGAUGAAUUAUUUAAGCUUAAUUAGUCUAUGACUGAACAAUAAUUAAAAAAACGAAGGUGCUACAAUAUUCAAAACAAAAGAAUUUCAGAACCCAACAAAAACAAAAAACUUUUCAAGAUUUCCCGUCACAUCGAAUCUUACGACACAUGCAUGGAGCAUUAAAUAUAGAUGAAAACAAAAACUAAUUAUACAGUCUGUCUAUAAAUCGCGAGACGAAUCUUUUAAAACUAGUUACUCUAUGAUUGAAAAAUAUUUGUCAAAUAAAACAAAAGUACUACAAUAGCGAAAUCUAAAAAAAUUUCACAACUAACAAGGCCUAAACGAAAACGGCCCAUCAGACCAGCAUCGCGGAAACCCACGGCGGCCCACUGAGGCCACAACCUUAGCAGCCGGGGUACGGGAACAUGGGCACGUUCCCCGUUCCGGGAACUUCGUCCCGAAACGUGGAACGGGAACAUCAUGGAACAUCGUUCCCAAAUGCGGUGGAACACGAAUCAUAUAUAGGAGCAAUCAUAGAAACAUCAGUCCCAAGCGACUAUGGAACUUCGUGGUGUGUCUGCAUACUGCGCCGUGCCCGUCCGUGAGCGGUCGGCGAAAAAUCUAGAUGGUGAUUGACUCAUUGGCCUAGACCUGCAAUGAGCCUUAAGGUUGGAGUUGGACAGCCCUAAAUGAAACAAAAAUACAAUAGUAAACUAUAUCACGCUAGGAAUCGAACUCAUUUGAUUCAAAACAACACGUAAAACUAUCUGAGCCAACCACUACGUCCCAAACACGUUCCUUUAGAAAGUGGAACGCGUUCCACAACUUAAAGGAACGAGACGAAACUAUAUACCCCUACGUUCCAUAGUUUAUGAAAAUGUCGUACCGCGUACCACGUUCCCGUACCACGUACCCUAUGUUCCGGAACAUGGCUGCUAAGGCCACAACACGCCGGCAACGUCGCGGUCCACCGCACGAAUCUCGAAGCGCCGCGCAGCCACAUUCGCCAGCUAGUAUCACCACGGGCUCCUGUUCCUGUCGCAGGUUACGCGGCGUCGCCUCCCGAAUCCCGAACCUUCUCGAGGUCGAGGCCCCUCUCCCCCUGCUCCAGGAGGUGCGCACGACUCUAAUCCCCUCACGCCCCACUGGCGUUUUCUUCCCUGCUUGCUCCGAUUUCGUUUCGAUGGUAAUCGCCGCCCGUUCCUCUCGUCGUCUCGUCCGGUCGUCCGCACCUUUCCUUUGAUUUGCGAGAGGGAUCUCUAGUCAAAAUCUCUCUUUAUGUAGCCGUUCAGUUCGUUGCGGUUUUUGUUUGACGAGUGGUUGAGUAGACCCCUGGCAAUCCACCCUUGCAUGGUUCGAUUAGGUUUUUGUUCAUCUUUUCCAGCUGCCAUUCUGCAUAAAUUGUUUAACCGAACCUCCUCUGUGGCUCUCUUUGUUUAAUUUCGUCACGGUGCCCCAUGUCAGUGUGUUGUAAGGUUGGAGCUGCACUGCAAUGAUACUUAUAUAAACUAGAAGCCUUGAUGCAUGAUUGAGCACGGUGCAAGUUGUUAGGUUUGAAAUUCCCGUGUAGUUCGAUUAACUGCAUAUCAGUAGUACAGUGCUUUUUGAAAGGAAGACGAAUAUGUUAUAGACUCAUAGUGUUCUCUGCAAGUCUGCAUCAUUUCUUUCUUGGUCGAGGUCUCAAGGAUGCUGCUACUUCAAUUUUUUAAAAAUAAUGCUCAGCAUAUAGUUAUGGUCCACCAUGUUCUUCCUGUUGCUUCGACUUUCGACUAGGAUAUUUUAACUUUAAAUAAAAUUCUGGCUCUUACUAUUACCAUGGUAUGACUUUCUCCUUAGAAAAUUGGUGUAGGGUUUUUGGUAAAUGACACAUUCUUGGAGAACUAUAUUCUUUGGGGGCCAUACUAUCUUUUGCAUGCUACAAUUGUGUCGUGCUUUGCCCCAACAUUUUUCCCAUUUAUGAGACAAUGAUGUACUUACCCGUGUUGGACUGCAGAAAACAAUGAGCCGACGCAACAGCCGUACCAUCUAUGUAGGCAAUCUCCCUGGGGACAUCCGUGAGAGGGAGGUUGAGGAUCUCUUCUACAAGGUGGGUUGCAAUUGUUUUACAUGUAUACCUUUGUCUGACUUUUCAUUUCGAAAGCAAGUGUCAGAUUGGUCAGGGCGUAUGCUAAUUCCUGCUCAGUCAAUAAAAUUUUCUGUCUCAGCAAGACAGCAACUUCAGUAUCCUAUUAAUGUGAGAAUGUAGUAUGGAGCUGAAUGUUUACAUUUUUUAUGUACUACAUUAAUUAAUUCAUCCGAUUCCAAAAUAUAAGUCCAUCUAGUAUUCUCUUAGAUCACCAAAUAUAAGUCCAUCACAACUUCGUGACAUCUAUUACUCUCAUUCUUCCAUGUCUACACCUGCUUAAAGGCGCCUAAUCAAUGCAGUACACUUGUUAUCUACCUUAACUGUAGUAACAAUUGGUGGCAACAGGGUCAUUGUACUCCUUACCUUAAUAUGUGCCAAAGUCCAAAUGGACUAUCAGAGGGAGUAGAAUAUUAUCUGAAAUUUGUUUGAGGGGUUGCACAAGAAUUUUGUUUGAGAUCAAUACAUGUUUUUUAUUGAGUUAUGUCAACUAAAGAAACGUCAUAUAUGUUGUUCUCUUUGUCUGAAGUAAACAAUAAUAUCUGUUUUGCAAUGACACCCGAUACCUUUUAUUUUGUCUCUGCAUCACCUAUGCUUUUAUUGAAUUAUGACAAUGCCUUGACUUUUUCCCCUUCAAUGUAUGAUUGUGCAGUAUGGUCGUAUCUUGGAUAUCGACUUGAAAAUACCUCCAAGACCUCCUGGAUACGCUUUCGUUGAGGUGAGGAUAUUUUUCUGUGGUCUGAUUCUGUAAGAAUAGUAUUCUUUUAUGGGGGCCUGCUUUUAAAUAUGCAUAACUUCUCUAUUACUCUGUUCAGUUUUAAAACCUAUUUUAUAUCAUGCUUUAAUCAUUCAAAUCAAACAAAUCAAACUGACUGAUAAUUUGUUUUGAUGUCACCCUAACAAAAAAUGAUGCUUUUUUAGUUUGAGGAUCCACGUGAUGCUGAUGAUGCAAUUUAUGGCCGUGAUGGGUAUAACUUUGAUGGCUACAGGUUGCGCGUAUGUAUAACAAACUUUUAUUUAAUGAUUCUCCCAGAAGAGAGGACUGGUUUGGGUUUUCUUGCAUUUGCUGAAAAUGCAUUUUCUACUCAGGUUGAAUUAGCUCAUGGUGGUAGAGGUCAGUCUUAUUCUUAUGAUCGUUCAAGCAGCUAUAGCAGUGCACGCCGUGGAGGUGUUUCUAGGCGCUCUGAUUUCCGUGGUUGGUACUUUUGUCAUAUGAGAACGUUUCCUUAUAGCUCCUUACACAGACUCUCAAGUUUCAUCUCCUAAAUCAUGCAGUUAUGGUCACUGGUUUACCUUCAUCUGCAUCGUGGCAAGAUCUGAAGGUAAUUUCUUUAUAAUUCAUUUAUUCCAGGACUUUUGCUGGAAAGAACUCAUUUACUACAUUUCAGGACCACAUGCGGCGCGCCGGCGAUGUCUGUUUCUCUGAUGUAUACCGUGAGGCUGGAGGUUAGUUGUUUGAACUUUGAACACUCCUGAACACAUUUUCUGCUAUUUCAUUGCAGCAUAUGGUUGUAAACGUAAUCCCUAAUUUUGUAAUCAUGUUUCCUAACUUAUUGCUUCACUGCCCCUUUGAAGUAUGAAAUAUUCAGGCUUUAUCCUGAAUUUCUACAUAUUGAUGAUAUCUGCUCCUUCUUCUUUCUUGUGCUGCAGAAACUAUUGGAAUUGUGGACUAUACAAAUUAUGACGAUAUGAAAUACGCGGUGGGUUUAGCAUGUCGUUUACUCAUUUUCUUUUAAUGUGAACUUAAAACCAUUUUCUCUCAUCUAUUACUGUGGGUCUGUUUUACUGUUGAAGGGAGUGCUCUAAGUAAAUUCUGUUCUUUCCUGUUUCAUGUGUCAUGAACUCAUGAUUGUACUCAUGCAUUUUCCUCUUGCCAUCGUGUAGAUUAGGAAGCUUGAUGACUCACAGUUCAGGAAUGCAUUUUCAAGGGCGUAUAUCAGGGUAUGUAUUCUUAUGUUUGCCCUAGUUUAGUUUUGGAAAUUGUUACAAUGCCUCAGAUCAUGUCUAUUUGAUUACGAGUUAUGUUGAUUCUUGUUCUAUUGUAGGUGAGGGAGUAUGAUGCCAGAUCACGAAGCAGAAGCCGUAGCCGGUCGUACUCUAGAAGCCCCAGUUACAGCAGGAGCAGGAGUCCAAAGUAUGUAUACAUGCUGACAAAUUUGUUAUCCAUGUCUUAUGGCAGCACUAACUAUUAUUUGUUGUUACUUAGAUCUCUUUCUCGGUCACCCUCACCUGUGGAUGAAAGGUAUGUGAAUCUAUGUCAAUAAGAAAUGUACAUUUGUGAAACUGAAAGUGCUAAUAUUGUUUAAAGAAAACGGAUUGACAAAUAAAUGGUGAAACCAAUCAGAUCUUGUCCUGAAUCAUCUUUAACGUAUUCUGCAGUACACCUAUGGUGCUAAAAAAUAUUGAAACCUGACUUGCAUGUCAUCAUUUUGUGGACUAACUUAACGCAGGGCCAGGGAGGAUGUCACAACUGAUAGGAGAGUGCCACAUUAACUUAAUUAUUUCCUACUAUCUGAUAUACUCUUGUCAAACAAACCAAAUGCCCGAGCUGAGAGACUGCCUUGUACAUACUUCUGCAAAUGCAGACCUGAAUUUUUGAGCAUGUGCUCUACCUAUCCUUAUAGAACAUGUUGAAGGUUUGGCUCUAUCACAAACUUCUAGAUAAAUCUUUCAAUGUUGUAGCAGCCUAGCAGGGAGUAUUGGAUCCUUCAGAAGCAUGCCAAAUUGAGAGGGUAUAGAAAGAUGUAUUACCAGAAUUUUACAUUCUUUCAAAACAAUAGUCUUGUCACCUUUUCCUGCCGUACCAGUCAUCUCCAUAGCAUGGCAGAACCUCUUCGUUUCUUUUUCCUCAUGGAAAAGCUUCAGUCCUCUCCUUAAUUAUCAACUUCAUACAUCUUUAACCUAGAGCUCCUUUUUUCUGAGUUUAACAACAAACUUUUCCUGCUUUAUAUUUUAAAGUAGAAAAAGGACUCUACAGAUAAAACUCACAUAUAUUUGCCUCAGAUUUUAAUAAACAAUAUUUCAAAAUAAAAUAUUUUUUCUGCUUUUUGUUAAAGCAAUAAGAAGAAACAAAGUUUGGUGCCAGAAUUUUUUUUUCGCGAACAGGUCGUAACCUGUUGGUGCCAGAAAUUUAACUUGAUAUACUUUGGAACGCCUCCUGAAAUCACCUGUGAUAUGUUUUUCUGUGUACCGAUUUCUCUUUAAGUUAGCAUAACUUUUGUGAUGUACUAAUCUCUCUUUAAAUAAGUGUGACUUGAAUUUGCUCUGUAGUUCAAUGAUUAAACAUACAGAGCUUGCUGGCUAACCUCCACUGUUCAAGGUUUGCUUUUGUUUUUCCUAGAUUUGGCCAUGCGGCGAUCUGGGGACUGCAUUGAUAUAAUAUUGGAUGUUUUGAGAAUUGGAGUGGAUGGUUUGGGACUUUGGAUAGUAGAGCUGGAUUGUGAUGCAUGUAUGACAAGUGGGCCACGACCAGUCCUAGGAGCAAGAUAGGACUGACAGUAAGAAAAUGUGAAGUGAAUCUUGUGGUGUUAUUAAAACAAAUGUCUACUAUUAAGUUCAAUGACUCCGUAUAAAUGAACCUUAAUUUAUAAGUUUGUGUUUUUGUCUAACAAUGCUGCCAUCUUAGUAAAAAUUCCUAUGGUGCCUUCUGCAUAUGGCUCUUUGUAGCCAUUUUCUUGUCAAGGUUCACACUAGCCAAAGAAGUUGACAUUAACAACAAAAUUCAAUAUACACCUUGCUUUGUUUGCUUAUUUGCAUUCCAGUUAUGACCUAAUUACCUUAUAGGCUUAAAAACUAUAUUAUUCUCGGAGUAUUAAGCAUAAACACCAGAAUGUUGCAGCUUCCCUCCUGUUUCAGUUCAUUCAUUCAUCUGCUGUGGAACGUUGCCUCUUUAUGCACAUCUCAAGUUGCCAGUUUAGCUUUAAUUGCAAUUUUGUAUCGCAGAUUAGAGUGCUACUAAUGCAUCAUUAAGUAAUGGAAUUUGUUUCUGGUACCUUUUGCAGAUCGCUAUCAAGAUCUCGAUCCCCAGUUUCUUCUGUAAGUAUCCCAAGCUCAUUAUAACCAAGCUUGUCAUAAUUGUCUUGUUCAAUGCAAUUGAUUUUUAACUCUUUUGCAGCCUUCUCAUGCCAGAUCUGCGAGCAGAAGCACAUCCCGUUCUCGGUCUCCUGUAAUUGCAAGCUUCCAAAACAAUCACUUAUUAUGUUGCUAGGAACUUUCAUGCUUAUUUAGUAUGUUGUUGCUGGCAGGUGAGAUCCGAUUGAACUUGGGAGCCCUUGAAGCAGUGAGCAGCUCCAGGGAGAAGAAAGGAACUUGAGAACAUGCCGUGCCAAAAGAUACUUGAGAACACCAAUGGUCCAAGUGAUUAUGUUGUUGCCGCUGCUCCCCCACAUUUGGGAGGUCUCUUCUAUUUAGACGGAGCAUUUAAUAAUUAUUAUAUUACAUUAUAUUGCUAAAGAGAUACUUAUUAUGCGUAGCAUACCGGUGUAGACUGAACUUGUUUGUCCUCGGUUUUUCUUGGCUCCUGGAACUCGGUUUUAUCAUUUGUUUACAAGAGACUUGUUUUAUCAUUGUACCCAUAUAGCAAAACCUAUAGGUGUAGUAGGAGUAUGCUGUAUGCGUCUAUGUUCAAUUGGUCGCAUGUAAACCUGGAUACGCACAGUUGUUUGGUUCCAUGGUGUGUUGUUACAAUGUUCCAAAAUUUGAGAUUCUCUGGAACAAUGUAGCAUCGUUGUGCAACUUCGAUCAGAUUUGGCUGAAUUCUGGUAGUUUUGUUCCUUGCCCUAUUGAGCCGAAGUGCGUGUGCAACGAGUUUGCCGACACAGCGCUGACUCCGUAUCCUUUUUUAAUUUGGAGUUGGUUGGGUUUCAAGUAAGACUACAAAUAUAUUUGUGGGUUGGAAAAUAAACAAAAUCUAGCUAAUACUCCAUUUCAAAUUAUAAGAAUUUUUGGAGUCAGAAGCAUUUUAAGUUUGAUUAAAAUUAUAGAAAUAAAUAUAAAGAUUUAUUACAUCAAAUAGGCAUUGAAAAUAUAAUUAAUGAACAAUCUAUUGAUACUCAGUUGGUACUAUAAAUUCUUAUUAUCUUAUCAUAUAAGAGAUUCUUAGAAUAAUUUAUAAUUUAGGAUCUUAUCAUAUAAGAGAUUUUUAGAAUAAUUUAUAAUUUAGAAUGGAGGGAGUACAAGUGUAACCUAACUUUUUUGAUAAAAAGAAAGAAAAAAGUCUACAUCACUCCCUGAACUAUGGGUGGUGUCUACUUUAUCCCCGAACUAUGAAAUGGUCUAAUUUACCCUCUGAACUAUCCAAAACUGUUCAAAUCACCCCUCAGGCAGUUUUUGACGGCAGUUUUGAUACAGUAACUGCUGUUUUUAUUUUUUUUAUUUUUUCAUAUUUGUUUUCAUAUAUAAUCUUUGAAAAAAAAUAGUAAAUUACAGAAAAAUCAUAAAAUAGAAAAUCUAAUUUUGUUGGACUCGGCAUGAGUAGAUCUACGCAAUGAAUAUAUAAUAUGAUAUACUUUAGUAUAAAUUUCGUACUCAUUUGAUCAUAUAUAACUUAGUUAUAGAUUUAUUCAGGUUUAUGCUUGUUAAAUAUAAAUAAAUCUAUAACUAAGUUAUACAUGAUCCGAUGAGUAUGAAAUAUUUACUAUAUUUCAAGCAUAGAAUAGGCCUUGUUUAGUUCCUCAAGUAUUUUGUAAAAAAUCCAAAAACCCCCAAACCUUAAGCAGUCCACCAAAAUUCUAACACCAAAAAUUUUUGGUUUUGGUGUUUACUUCCUAAAAUAUUUUACAAAAUUUUUCAGAUUUCCUGUCACAUCAAAUCUUGUGGCACAUGUAUAAAACAUUAAAUAUAGAUAAAAAAUAACUAAUUGUACAGUUUAUAUAUAAUUUGCGAGACGAAUAUUUUGAGCCUAAUUAUUAUAUUAUUGGACAAUAUUUGUCAAAUACAAACGAAAUUGCUACGGUAUCUAUUUUGCAAAAAAUUUUGGAACUAAACAAGACCAAUGUCCCUAUUUUAUUUUGCAAAAAGUUUAGGGCCAAAAUAUUUUGGCCAUGUUUACUUCCAAAAUGCAAAAUAGCAAAAAAAAUUUUAUUUGGUCCAAAAUAUUUUGGAACUAUUAGGCCUUGUUUAGUUCCCAAAAAAUUUUGCAAAAUUUUUCAGAUUCCCCGUCACAUCAAAUCUUUAGACGCAUGCAUGAAGUAUUAAAUAUAGACGAAAAUAAAAACUAAUUGCACAGUUUGGUCGGAAUUGACGAGACGAAUCUUUUGAGUCUAGUUAGUCCAUGAUUGAACAAUAUUUGUCAAAUACAAACGAAAGUGGUACUAUUCCUAUUUUACAAAAUUUUUUGGAACUAAACAAGGUUCCAAAAAUUUUUGAAACUAAACAAGGCCUAAUUAGUCGACCAUAAAAAUUUCACACAGUUGGACCAUAGAAGUUGCAGCUAUGAAUUAUUCCAAUUAAUUACAGAUAAAAUUUGAUUUUUUUUCUAACUAAUUUAAAGCUACAGAAAAAUUUUGUAUUAAAUAUACCAUAUUAUAUAUUCAUUGCAUAGAUCUACUCAUGUGGAGUCCAAAAAAAUUAGAUUUUCUAUUUUAUGAUUUUUCUAUGAUUUACUAUAUUUUUUAAAAGAAUAUAUGAAAACAAAUAGGAAAAAAGAAAAAGUCAAAACCGCAGUUACUAUAGCAAAACCACCGUCAAAAACCGCUCAGGGGUGAUUUGAACGGUUUUGGAUAGUUCAGGAGGUAAAAUUAGACCGUUUUAUAGUUUGGAGGUAAAGUAAACACCACUCUAUAGUUCAGGGGGUGAUGUAGACUUUUUCCUAAAAAGAAAUGGAAGAAGAAAUGGAAGAAGUCCACUUUAGGUCCCUCAACUUUCGUAAAAAUUCGUUUUUCAUCCUGAACUUUAAAAUCAGGUAAAAUAUAUCCCUCAAAUUUUAAAACUAUGCAUAUUACGUCGUUGAUAUGGUUAUGAGUAAUUUUAAAGGUAGUUUUGUCUUUUUAAUUUUUACUAGGUAGCGUGCCCGUGCGUUGCUACGGGAUAACUAACAUUUUUAUUUAAAAUUCACGGAUCGCACAAUAAGAUAACAAUAUUAUAAUAAAACUUAAAUACCAACUAUAAAGUUACAUUUGACUUAAAGAAACAAAGUUCGUGAAAUCAAACAUAGUUAUGAAGAGCACGACGUUAUAGGCUUACAAACUCUACUUUAUAGAUCUUUCCGUGAUACGACAAAGAUAAUGUUUAUAUCGACAAGAAGAUAUGUCCGAUAUCUAUUUCUUUCGUGUGCCAGUAAAUCCACAAAUAAAUUUCGCCGCAUCUCCGUACCAUCCUAUCACACAUUCAAGUAUAUAUGUAAAAAUUAGUGUGUUACAUGGGUAAUACUACAUUUUGUUAAAAAAACUUUUACAAAAACUUAGUCAAAGUGUUAUACUCACUGUAUAAAUAUGCGUGGCUUUUGGUCUAUUCCAUGUAGACAUAUAUUGUAGGAUGAGAAAUCUACUUAAGUACCUGUAGCAAGAUUCAUGAUCAGCAAUAUAUAGAAAUAGUUAAAUCAUAGGUAUUUGUUAUUGCAAAUGACGAUGAUUUUAAGUUAGUUACCUAUCUAUAUCAUCUGCAAUGUUUUCUGUCCGUUUAAAUUUCCAUUUGAAAACAUCCUCAUCUCAUCCAGGAAUAUGUUUAUUAAAUGCGGCCAUGUAGUUGUAGCUAAGUCCAAGAGUGUAUUUGGCAUACAUAAGCGCUGGUGUGUCUUUACACCACUCUUCAAGAGGUCUAGGGUUAAUCAUGAUGAGCAUUUUUUCCCGCAUGUCGAAAACAUAAAGCAUAUAUUUUCGAAAGGAUAGCCACGGUAAAAGAAACUGCAAACACGGUACCAUUAGAAUAGUUUAUAGGGAACAAUCAAUAAAAUAUUGAGCAAAAGACUUACGUAUCUGCAUUGUGCUAAGCUGUACUUCAUAUCCUCACAUAUACCAAUCGCAGCAGCCAUUUCUGUUGUUUUGUAUUUUUUACGAUAUUCUGGCAUCUUUGUUAAAGCACACAUUCUCUGAAAGCAAAGGAUAACGAGAGUCAGUAUUAGUAUGACUUGAAAAAAAUAAGACAAUAUAAUAUAUCACCUAAUUUAUCCUAUUGAAGUUAGACUCCAUGCAAAAAUAUACUUACACAAAAUUUUAAGUCCAUGUGAUGCUUCGUAAUAUUAUUAUAAUUUUUCAUUAUAUUAUACUUUCGAGCCGCCUGAAAACGAACUCCUAUUUCGAAACAGUUCUCAGGGAUGUCUCGAUUGUUCAUUAACAAUCCUUACUCAGUCGGUGAGAAGAACCGUUUCUUCAUGUAUCAGGCUUCACCCCGAAAACCAAAAACUUUUCAAGAUUCCCCGUCACAUCAAAUAUUAGAGCACAUACAUGAAGCAUUAGAUAUAGACGAAAAUAAAAACUAAUUUUACAGUUUAUCUGUAAAUCACGAGAUGAAUCUUUUGACCCUAGUUAGUCUAUGAUUGAAUAAUAUUUGUCAAAUAAAAACGAAAAUGCUACGGUGUCGAAAUCUCAAAUUUUUUCGGAACUAAACAAGGCUGAAUAUCGACAUCAUCUUGUCAUACAUGCCAGCCUUACCGUAGGACUUGAUGUUGAACGUCUUGGUAUCUGGCUCAACACCCAUCAGCUGAAACUCACUGUAACUCUUCUCCAUUUCAUCUGUUCUUCCAUGGUUGCCAUAUGCCCCGAUGACAGAGUUCAUCGUGUAAAUGUCUGGCACAUUGCUCCCACUCUCAAGCAUGGCAGAGAGCGCACCCUCCAUCUCCUCAAACAUGGCAGCCUUGCCGUACCCAUCAAUUAUCGCGUUGUGGAUAACCGAAUUGCACUCGAUCCCCAGGUAUGACAUCUCGUCGAGAACAGCAGGGAUCAGAUCGAAGCGGCGCGACUUGGCGCAGAAUUGAUGAGGACGGAGAAGGUGUACCCGUCCGGCUUGCAGUCGGCGGCGCCUUUCAUCUGCUCGACGGCAGCCAGCGCCUCGUCCAGAAAGCCGCUAUAGCCGUACGCGCCGACGAGCGCCGUGUACACGUCCGCCGUCGGCCGGAGCCGCUCCGAGAGCAUCGCCUUGAAGAGGGCGGCGGCGGGACCGGGCUGCCGGCACUUGCCGAGCAUCAUCAGCAGCCGCGCGUAGGUCUGCGACCUCGGCUCGUACCAGUGCUGCUUCCGCAGCAGCUCGAAGAUCUAGCGGCAAGCAAAGCAAGAGACACGGUAAGCAUCGUUGAGGAGAGCAGAAGAUCCUCCGCGGGGAAGGAGGGGGGAAAAGCGUUGGGAAGGAGGGGACCUCCAGGGCGGACUCCCAGCGGCAUGCGGCGACGGUGGAGUCGAGGGCCUCGAGGACGACGCGGGGCCAGAGGUUUGUGGACUGCUGCCGCGCGGCCGCGGCCUUGCGGGAGACGCCCGAGACGGCGGCCUCGGUGCGGAGGAUGUGGGCGAGGGCGUCCGGCUGCUCGUGCUCGGCCUCGCCGACGCGGGUGGACGGGGACAGGCGAGGCGGUGCCGAUGCGGAUGACGGAGCCAGGCGAGGUGGUGCCGAUGCGGAUCACGGCGGCAGGCGAGGCGGUGCGGAUCACGGAACCAGGAGAAGGGGAUCAGAGCGAAGGGGAUCAGGGGUCUUCGGUUUGUGCUCACGGUGGAAAGGGGAAGGGGAUCGCGGGUCUGCUGACGGAAAGGGGAGGGUAUCACGGAGGGAUGGAGGUUUCCAAGUUUAGCUGGCGACGUGGACGCACGACGCGAAUGGGAGACGGACGAAACCAAAACCGCACAAAAAAAAAUGUCCUUGUUUUAGUUUUUUUUAGUUGUAGGAGAUUUAUUUUGGCUAAAUAUUUGUAAAAUUAUAGUAAAUAACAUAAAAUUCAUAAAAUAGUACAUCUGAUUUUGUUGGAUUCCAGAUAAGUAGAUCUACACAGUGAACAUAUAAUAUGGUAUGUUUUAGUACAAAGUAUUUGUUGUAGUUUUAUAUCUAUGUUUUUUUUAUAAUUAAUUAGAAUAAUUUAUAGCUAGAGUUGUAUGGUCCAAUUGUGAUGAAUUUUUUAUGUUGGGUUAAUUAUUAUAUGUUUAAACUGUGAUAAAAAUUUCAUACUUAUUAGAUCAUGUAUAACUUAGUUAUAAAUUUAUUAAUAUUUAAUAAGCGUAAACCUAAAUAAAUCUAUAACUAAGUAAUACAUGAUCCAAUGAUUAUGAAAUUUUUAUUACAACUCAAGCAUAUAAUAAUUAGCCUACCAUAUAAAUUUCAUCACAAUUGGAUUAUAGAAACUGUAGCUAUAAUUAGUCUAAUUAAUUACAGAAAAGUAUAUAUCUAAAGUUGUAUCAAACAAUUUGUACUAAAAUAUACUCCCUCCAUCCCAAAUUAUAAGUCAUUCCAAGAAUCUUGGAGAGUCAAAAUAUUUUCAUAUUUGACCAAAUUUAUAGAGAAAAAUAGUAAGAUUUGUAACGUAAAGUGAGUAUAUUAUGAAAAUAUAAUUAAGGAAGAAUCUGAUGAUACUUAGUUGGUAUCAUAACAAUAAUUAUUUUAUCAUAUAAAUUUGGUCAAACUUAGAAAAGUUUGACUCUCCAAGAUUCUUGGAAUGACUUACAAUUUGGGAUGUAGGGAGUACUAUACUAUAUAUUCAAUGUGUAGAUCUACUCAUCUGAAGUCCAAAAAAAUUAAGUUUUAUGUUUUAUGAUUUUUAUGUGAUUUACGGUGAUUUUCAAAAAAAAAUUAGCCGAAAUAAAUAAAAAGAAAAAGAUAAAACCACUUUCAAAACUAGAUAAUAUGCACACUUUUUAAAGUUCAAGGAUGUAAAUCAGAUUUUUAUGAAAAUUGAGGGAUCUAGAGUGAUUUUUUUUUUCAAAAUAAAUCAAACGUGCACAUGCUGGUAGUACGUUUGAAUUACGAAUCCUACUAAGUACCGGUCCGGCCCGGCCCCUUUAUCUUGCGGCCCCCGCGCCUUUUGUUCUCCCGUUCCCCAGGCCCAGUCUCCCACGCAUCGCGGUUCUCCCCGUGUCCUUCGCGUGAGUUCUGCGACGACUACGCGACCGCCGGCGCCAGCGCCAGCGCCAGCGCCGCCGUUCGCCAGGUUUCCGGAUCUCUAUCUUCGGGUUGGAGCCCUUCACCGGCGACGAGCAGCCACCAGGUACGCCCACCCCAUCUCUUCCGUUCCUGCUGUGCGGAACCGAGCACCCAAACCCUAACUAUUGGUAACCGUAUCUGAUCUGAUCCAAUUAGUGUUGCGAGUCCCGAUGGCGGAACCAGCGAAGCCCGAGGUGACGGAGGAAGCUAAGAUGGACCUGCUCGAGGACGACGACGAGUUCGAGGAGUUUGAGAUCGAUCAAGGUAUGCUUCCUCGUCGAAUCCCCGGUUCUUCCUGGUCAUCUGCUAGGUGGCUCCGUUGUCAAGAUCUGGUUAGGGUUCGUUAGCUCAGGUGUUUUUGUUUUUGUGUCACAUAGGGGGUGUGAAAUAUCUGUUGCUGUCACUUGUGCGAUGUAGGGCUGUGCCCAAACUAUUGUCCGUUAGUAGACGCGCUGGACAUUCUGAUCUUGUUUAUCUAGUGGACCGGAGUCUUAUCUUUCUGUAAAGUAGCUAAAAUUUGUGGCUAACCGGCUGCUCCAAAAUUGAUGAUUUCAGAUGGGUUUGCUCUUUCUGCGCUGAAAACAUUUGUCUGCUGUUCCAUAUUAUGAAAUUCUAUCCACAACCUGAGAUAUUUCGCUAUAGAUAGAUGACAUUUGGGCUAAUAUGUUGAGUCGGUUCGAACUUGAAUUGUGGUUUAUUUAUCUGUAUGAAUUACUAGAUUCAUUUAUUAAUUGCUCACCCCAGAGACAAGCAAAGUGCCACUUAUAGAACAAUAAUAAUGCAACCUUCAGGAAAAACUCCAAUAGUGAGUUUCUGUGGCAACAUCAACGCAAACUAACAGUUAUUAUAUCGAGAGAGUGUUUUUCUAGAUUGAUUUGAAUCGUGUUUCGUGUGUGCAGUUCAUAAAUGUUAUAGAGGGAUUGGUUACUACAUGCAUGGCACGUUACUGCCAUGAGUGCAUUCAGCCUAUUUUUUGUGCUUAAAAAUCUCUUAAUUUCUUUAGACAAUCUGUACAUGCCUAUAUGCUAGAUCAAGUUGAAAGAUCAAAUCCCAGAUGCAUUUAUGCUUGCUUUGCAUUAUUAGAAACUUAGAAGACAUCACAAGAUUGAUGUUGCAUUUGAGUGUUCUGGUGUUGUUUCCUAGUUAAUCUGUUCACCAUGACCCAUUUGGAUUAUCUUGUUUUUUUAGUUUCCUCUUUGUCCGUUGUUUCUUUUGGUUGUGUAGUGUAAUGACCUGUUCAAUUCGACAAGAUAUCAAACUUGUUUAUGAAACUGUUACAGACAAAAACAAUGCUGGCAUUACCUAAAUACCAGUCUGAUACUAACUUCUGAAUUACAGAGUGGGAUGACAAGGAAGAAGGCAAUGAAGCACUUCAGCAAUGGGAGGAUGACUGGGAUGAUGACGAUGUCAAUGAUGACUUCUCGCUGCAGCUGAGGAAGGAGCUGGAGAGCAAUGCGCCCAAGAACUAGCUAGCAUUUGCAUUUUGCAACUGUUAUUUGUUCUGGACCUUGGCAUGGCUACUUUGAUGUAGUCGCUGCAUUUGCUGUUGUUAAUACCUUGAUUACUGAAAGAUCUAUUUUCCGAGUUAUAUUAACCUGCUUUCAUCAUCAUCUAAUAAUAAUCCAAAUCUGAUCGGUCUAUUCAGAAGUCUGCAAGGCGCUGUUGUUUGCAUAUCAUCUAUCUUUGUUGUUUGCAUAUCAUCUAUCUUUGCCAUCCAAGCUGUCUGCAAUGUUGCGGUUUGAUACUUGUCUUGAAGGGAAAUUUUAGUUGCUCCAUAUGGUUACCUGUCAAUCAGUUUACUUCUGAGCAGCUUAAACCAGUAACGUAGAGUACUAUCGCAAAACCCUUUAGUAACGUUGAGUACUAUCGCUAAACAUUUUUUUUUUGAAGGAUCUGUCUAGAUAACAAUUGAGUGAUUCAAGGGCAGCCAUUAGUUAACUUUUUGACGCAUAGACCAUCUUUAACAACACCACCCAAAAUACAAGACUAAUUCAACGCAAUCUCCAACAACACCACUCAAAAUACAAGACUAAUUCAACAUUUGGUAGCGCUACAGGCAAAGAGUUCAAUAUCCAUUUAACAUCUUCUGUAAUAACAAGACCCAAAAUAGAAUCUUUUUUACAAAUAGUUUUAAGGAGAGAAGACAUUCAUAUUUGGGUUGUGCCUCUCAAACAAUCUAAAUGGGGUCUCCCGUAGUUAACUUUUUGACGCAUAGACCAUCUCUAACAACACCCAAAAUACAAGACUAAUUCAACGCAAUCUCCAACAACACCACCCAUAAUACAAGACUAAUUCAACGCUUGGUAGCGCUACAGGCAAAGAGUUCAAUAUCCAUUUAACAUCUUCUCUAAUAACAAGGCCCAAAAUAGAAUCAUUUUUACAAAUAGUUUUAAGGAGAGAAGACAUUCAUAUUUGGGUUGUGCUUCUCAAACAACCUAAAAUAGGGUCUCCCGUAGGUACUUAGUUAGAAGCCGAUUUUAGAUCUCCUGCUACCCAUUUUGGGUUUGGAUGCCCAUAUGGGUCACUUAUUGGAGAUAGUCUUAUAGAUAUAAAAUAGAGGGUUGAGAUCAAAUCUCUCUCCAUUAUAUCUUCUUUCAUCUUCUUCCUCCACGCGCACACCACUGGACCCUAACAAGCCACUCGCCUCUGCCACCUUUGCCUCCUCGCUUGGCUGUAGCGGCUCCCUUGUUGUUGGAUCCGCUAGCCUCCACCACAACCCGAUCUGGUACUAAAAUCCAUUGGAUGUGUCUCCUCGCCGUCUUCUUCAUCUUCACUCUGAGCUCCCUACUUCCAUGCUAAUCUGGUGGAGGUUGUCGAGAUAUAUCCAUCACACCCCCGUCCUUGUCCUGCCCAACUGCCUUCCUUCACUGCCCAGCUGGCAGUGCCACUGCCACGACUGCAAUCACCACUUGGGCAGCCUUUUCUCAUGAAUCCUUAAGCCCGCCAGAUUUAGGUGACACCUUGAAUCCCAAACCCUAACCCUAACCUUGCCAACCUAGUGAACCCCCUUGGGACAACACCCACAGUUAGUAGUUGCAAUCAUAUCUUAUCUUAAACUAUAAUAGGAUUUACAUAGGUGUCCUUAGGUGGGUACCACCUAACCAACCUCCUUGUGACAACACCCAUAGUGUUGGUUGACCAUGCUUAUAUCCUCUAUCAAUUCCAGAAUCACUACACCAUCGUUGCCAGCAAAUCCUACGAGGGAUAUAACAAAACCAAAUCAUAAACUACCAAGCACAACAAUUAAAUCCCGAUUUUGCUACUAAGAAUGAGGAGUCAAUGUGAGAUUUGCCACUAUACUACACGCUUUAGGAAGAGUUACUUUGCCAAGAACUAUGAUGUCAUAGCAUAUGUUAUUGUAUUUCUAGAAGAUAUCUACUUGUCCAAUAAAUUGUCUCUUAGAUGUCACUGAGUUGGAUGAGUAUUAUGUGAGUAAAAUCCUAGUUGUCAAUUAUGUUGCCAUCUAGUUGGCUAGUAGUUGUCAUGUAGUUGUACAUGAAUCAUGUACAACUUUGGAGCCUAAAAAUAUAGGAAAUUAAUAUUUUAAUUUUUGGGAUUCAUGCAGUCUGCUAUAUAUUAACUUGAUGAUGUUCCUAUUAUUGAUUUCUUUUAAGAUAUACUAUUUGAUGAAUUAGGUUUCCCUUAGGGGAUUAUCUGCUAUUAUGUUAAAGUUAUUCCUUCAAAAACUUUGCUUUAUAUCUCUUACCACCUUGGAGUGGUUCCUCCAAUGCUAGUGUGUUACACGAUAUACCUUGUGACACAAACCCUACACUAGGCAAAUGAAAAGAUCAUAGGAUCAUAGAAGAAUUUCAACAAAUAGGAAUCAAACAUGUAGUGAGAACAAUUAACAAAAGUUAGAACCCUACAAUACUAGUUUACAAUAAGAUAUAGUCAGUGACAUGACACUUUUGCAAGAUCAUAGGAAACCAUGAAACAAAUCUUCCAACAAAAAAAAUAUUAGCAAGAAGAAGGCAAGAACACAAAAGUGACAUCACAAUUAUGAGUUACAACACUAACAUGAAUCGGUACAUUUGUUUUUUUUGUUCCAAAAAUGCAUACCAAGUUGUUGAUAAAAAACAAGCCAUUUCAAGUUAGAGGGAUAAACCCAAGCUUGGCGAGAAAUAGAGGACUAGAAAAAAGUAGGGGUGAUAGUGUGGAAGCGAUGCAAACUCCCAAGGACUGUACCCAUUGCUAGCUUGGAUUCUGAGGAUAGAGAUUCCUAUAAGGGGGCAAACUAGUUUGCUUAAAUCAUCUUCAAAAGCUCCUCUAAACUAUUCUCAAAACCGUUUUUAGCCAAAAACAAAAAAUUGACCCUCCAACAAUUGUAGUCUGCACUUCCAAUCUUUUAUAGAUUCCUGAAUCUCUCAAUCAACUUGUACCUUCCCAAUCACUCUUGACCAUUGCAUUUUUGUUUCCUCAUGCAGUCAUUUGUUUCUCUCAUGUGAUUUUUUGUUUCUCUUAAGCAGUUCUUUGAUCCUCCAUCGCCCACUAUUGGCUACCCUUGUCGCGCCUAACUAGUCUUGGUCAUCCCUGACCGCUCACUGGCCAAGCUAGGGAAGUCACAUAGGUAUGGAAACAAAAACAUAAAGAUGUUGUAGAAUGGUAUAUUUUUUCUAUACCAAACGGUGUUUGUGAGCUUCUAAAAUCAUAAUUUAUUGGAAUGAUUUUUUGUUGUAAACUCUUGGAUAUUUUCUUAGGAUAGACUAAAGCAAAUUGUUGGGAUUUACCCAUUAUACCUCAACCCACCCCUUCAAUCACCGGUCAUUAAAAAAUCUUGUGUUGUCACAUAGGUGGAAAGGACUUGUCCUUUGUAUGAUAUUUUAUAGUCAUCUUUGAAUAUUUGCUAUCUCUAAAUAUUUUUAUUUCAUUUUUCUAUGAUAUAUCUAUAUGAAAAUUGGUUAUGUAGAUGAUCCAUGUUAAGUAUCCAUGGCUGAAUGGUUAAAGCGCCCAACCAUAAUUGAUAAUUUUGCGAGUUCAAUUCUUGUUGGAUGCAUGCAAAUGAGAACAUUCUGUAAGUCUAUUAGAACUGGCUCUCUAUCUAUGGAAUCUCAUCCAUCAUCUUUACAUAAUGAAUUGGUAUGGUAUAUUCAUACCAUAACAUAAGAACUCAAAUUCUUAUCGAUACUAGAACUUAGAGCAUAGGAGGGAAAGUCAAUUUAUGGAUGGAAUAAAAUUUGUAGUAUUUAGAAGAAGGCCCAACUCAAAGGUUAAAUAAAAGCCACUAUGGCAAAGAUAAAAUGAUGAAGGUUUGAAUCAAAGUCUUGGUACAAAGAAAAAAUCCAAUUCAAAGAAGCCUUGGGACAAAGACCCCAAGUUGAAGGUCAAACCCAUAGCCCUACAUCAAAGAGUCAAUGUGCAGUAAAAGAUUGGCUUUGUAUGCAUGACUAUCAAAGCAACCUUAUCUUGCGUUGUCAUUUUAAAGUAGUUUGUAGCUAUGUAAAGGCUAUUUCACACAAAUAUUCUUGAAGUAUAGUUGCUAAGUUGGGGCCAAGAGGACAUCUUUAGUGGUCGGGCAAAAAUCUCCAAAAUAUUAUUUACAUGGGAUGACUUUUGCAUUUCCUCAAUAAUUCAUUGUGUUCUGUUUGUCUCUAUACUUGCAUAUAAACACUACAAAAAAUUCCAUUUUCACAUCACAGUAAUUCAAAUUAGUAUGUUUCUACUACACAUAAUCCAAAUCAAACAAUUUAAAAAAUUUAAACAUAUGUCAUAUGGUCCAAAACUCCAAAUGCAUAAGAUAAAACUAAAUUCAAGCAUAACAUAUGAUCCAAUGGAUAAUAUAGAUCAUCACAAGCUCCUAUUUCCACUACCAUUCCCAUUCCCAUUCCCAUUCCCUCUCCCAUCCUUCAUGCUAGAGUUUAUGCAUGCAUUAAUUCCAUGUUGGCUAUUUAUGCACAUGCAUUCUGCGCACAUAAAAAUCUAUGUUUGUUUGUUUUGCAAGAGGUUCAUACAUUUUGUCAUUUGAAAAUUAGAAUUUCAAUUCUAGUUUAUCAUAAUUGGCAUAAUGGGUUUAUUUUUCUAAACUUUUUAUAUGAUUUAGAUUGCAUUGUGUUAGUUCUUGAAUUCUUUACUUUUUCUUUACCAUGGGCAAGAAUGCAACCAUGAUAAUGUUAGAUGAUAGUGAAGGAUAUCAAUUCUUGUGCAAAAAUGUAAUAAACAUUCUCAAAUGAGUCUAGCUAGCUUGUGAAAUGUAUCGUUAGAACCUAGAUUUGCUCAUCCUGGCUUCUCACAAUUGACCAAGCCACAUGAUAUAAAGGAAACUAGUCACCACCUAGUGCACUUGGGUGAGGUGCUCUAGUACUAGGUAGUCGCAUUUUAGCAAACUGUAAGAAAACUAUCAUUGUAAAAAAUCCAUAUUAUGCAGUACAAGGAUUAGACAUGCCAAAAAAUAUGAUGUAACUCUUCUUGUUUUAGCUCCCUUUUUUCUAUCAUAUCAACAUUAAACAACACUUCAUUAAAAGAUAUCUAAUAGACAUGUCACUAAGAUUUAAUUUCACACGCCGAGAGGGAAAGGGUUUCUCCAUCUUUUCUUCCACGUGCAUGAGUAUACACAUACACUAACACCACACACAUCUAAACCAAUGAACUGUACAUAUUUUGAUGAUCACAACACUAGUAAAUUUAGUGGAACUUACUACCUCUCAUAAUUUUGGAGGUUAACGAGGGGCGAGACCUACGCAACUCUAGUGAUCUAACCUAUACUAGUUAGGCAUGUUCUUCUUACUCUAUGGUCUAAGGGUUUAUUUAGCUUGUCUCCUCUAGCUCACCACUAUGUAGUUGUGGCACCCCAAAACCACAACACAUGGUUUGUUCGCCAAGUGCUGCAAAUGGUAUUGUAAACUAAAGAGAAAAGUUUGAAUGGCCAAACUUGUAGCAGACUAUGGAAGCAAACACAAAUAGAGGCUCUAUUGCGAACUUUUUUGUAGAUUGGGAAGCAAUCCAAACACACUCUAUGGUUAGGCUCAAUGACACACUCUAAGAUGGGAGUUCUAGGCUCCACAUCUAUAUUUAAUAUCAAACAAGCAUGAAAAGUGGUUCGGGCUUGUCCAACACACCAAGCUUUUGUACUGUCCUAUUAGUCUCCACGUUGUCGUUGAGCAUCCAUGUCACCAAGGAUGAUGGUCUUGCUGUUAGAAUGACUCACAGGAAGCAAAAUAGGUCUCACUUACAUAAGUGGAAGCAACACCUGGACUCAUGUUGUGGAGAAGGUUGCGAGAGCGUAGGAAAGAGAAGUUGCAAAGCCCAUAGAAAAUGCAUGCAUAGUAGAGCCCCAAAAAAGUAGCUUACAUUUGGGUGCAUUAUAAUACUAUUGGCCUCAACUCGUCAUCUAUAUGGACUACGACUUUUGGUUUGAGCUAACAAAACUACUUGCUUUGCUAGCUUGUGCCCUUAGAACGAUAUUCAAGGCAUUGUUUGGCAUACGGAGGUGCUCAUAGGGGAUAGGAUAUGGGUAUGUACGUGUGUGCUUGUAUAUAUAAGCAUAUGCGUUUGUACUGGAUCUCGAAAAAAUAAGACCUUGUGAUAGACUCUACCCAUUAAGGAGAGAGGAAUUAGAGGGAUGCAAAUCAAAAGUUGCCGAAUAACAACAUUAGUGUGCAUACGUUAUGGGUGUGUGCUUCUUUCUAGUUUAUGUUGAGAAUGGUCUAAAAGCAACUCUAAAAGCCUAUUUAUAUCAUUCCGUAUUAAGGAAAAUAUAUUUUCAUGAAGAAGAAAAAAAAUCUCUAUAAGAUCUCUAAAUAUUUCCAUCUCUACAAUAAAGCGGAGCUGGCUCUUAAGAUUCUUAUAAUAACAAAAUAGGAAGAAAUUGUAUAGGUAGCAGUUUAUGAGAAGAAGUUUGGAGAUAUUAUUGUAACCACCAACGCGCAAUCUGAGCCGUCGAUCUCCACGACCCCUCUGUUCACACGACCACGGUCUCCACCGGGAAAGGAAUUGGGGGCGAUUCGAGCCCAAAGAUCGCAUCGGCAUGGCAUCCAAAUCCAAAGGCCCAAAGCGCAAAAAGGCGAUGAGGCGACGAGAGAGACGCGAGCGAGUCGGAGCGGUCGGUCCUCUCGUCUCUCCCGUUGGGUUCCAUGGACAACGGACGGGAGGUGGCGUGGUGGACACAGCUCGCCGGGCGGUGCCAACAGCGUGACGCCCGCUGCCGCGAUUGGAAUUGGAAACUAGAAACUGCCCCCCCCCUCACCUCCUCACGAGGCCCCUGCUCCCAGCCUUCGUCUUCUCCCUCCUCCCUCCCCCUCCCCCUCCCCCUCCCCCUCCCCGCGUUUUUCAUUCAUCAUCAAUCAUCAGGAUAAAAAAGGCCCAGAUUCAUGGAUGCUUCCUCCCCUCGCCCUCGCCUCCGCGUUUGAGCCACAGACCCGAGCGAUCGUGCCCCGAUCCCGAUUACCCACCAAUCUUUUUCCUCCGCCAUGGCGAUCCGCCCGGACUAAUGCCUGAUUCUCCGUCCGACGAUCCUCGGUAAGCCCUCGCCCGCCCCCCACUGGUUUGGUCCUGCGUGGUUCACAUGGCUCGUCAGGUUCUUGCGGGUUCCUUUCCGGUGUGUGUGUGUGUGUGUUUUUUUUUCUUGUUGCGGAUUCGUCUUGCGUGUGGGUGUUCCGCGGACUCCCUUGUUGCCCUGCUCGAGUAUCAUUCGCUACGAUUUUCUUGUUUUCUUUAGUCAUUCGUAGGAAUCCUCCUGUUCUACAGGGUUCUGUUACGAAUCCGUGGGGUUUUCUGUUGCAGAAUUGAGCUUUUUCCUGCGGAGGCUUGGACCAUUCUCGUGCGCUCCUUUGAUUCUCUUCGUCCCCUGCGAAUUUCGUUGCUGAACGUCAUCUGUCCGCUCGCAGGUUCUUCUUCUGGAGGAAGAUUGGGGCGGAAUUCUGGUGGGGUUCGUGUGGGCGCGUAGGGCCCCCUGACGGCCUGGCCUGACGCAUCAGCGGCGAGCCAUGGCUCCCGCUCCCGUUCCAGCUCUACCUCCAGCCAUGGAUAAUAAGGAUGAGGGCGACGGUGGCGCCAAGAACCAGAACGGCAUGGUGGUGGACGAGGGCGACAGUGGCGCCAAGAACCAGAACAGCAUGGUGGUGGUGAAAUCCGAGGCUGUCUGCACGGAUGAUGGCCCUCUGGUGGUCGCUACUGAGCUUGUGAAAUACGAGGGAGGCGAUACCACUGAAUGCUCGAGCUCGUUUGGGGACACCUGCUCUGGAUUUGAAGGCGAGGCAGACAAUGGUGAACCAGAAGUGAAUUCUGGCAUGUCCGCUCAUGACAAUGGUGUUGGGCCCUCAAAGCCCCCUAGGUGAGUCCUCCAUACUUCCUCGUUUGCCCUGAAUGCUACUGAUCUCAUUAUUGUGCAUUCCUGGUUCAUGGAAGAAUGAACAGGUGUAAGAUUAUGCUAGGUUGUUAUGUGCUUUUGUGUUUCAGUGUUUGCCUGUUUGGUUUUCCCUCUCUCCCGCGCUCCUGGUGAUAAAACAGAAGGUUGUAGUAGGGUUUCGACUUAUACUAUGUUGUAAUUAUUGCACCUUCCUGAUUGCGGAAGCGACAAGAAACGUAGGAUCAUCAUUGUACCUAAAACAGAAAGAUAUGAUUCAGUAACGUAAUGCGGUGUCUUGUAUGCUUAUUGAUUAGUACCUUCCCAUCGGAAUUUUCCUUUUCUGGGCCACAUUUCGUUCAUCAUUUAUAUGAAAUGUUAAAAACUUAGAAGGUGAUAAUAACACUUAGAUUAGGACAGGUAUAAUUUCUGCGCAAUUCUUAUAUGCCAAAUAGAAGCAGGUAGCAACAGCCUGAAAAAAAAAUGUGUUCUGUCCUAUGAAGUGCCGUGCCACUUAUGUGAAGUGUGCCAAUCACAAUCAGAAGAGGCAAAUUACCAGAUAACCCUAUGAUCUUAUGUUUUUCAGGUAGCUAUUUAGAAACACAAUUAAGCAAAUGGUAGCUUAUUCAAAAGCAUUGUGAAUUUACCGUUUUGGUUGUUCAACCAGGACUUCGUUUCAGCAACCAGGUAGAUUAAUUCGAUUAUAAUCGGCAUGGAUUUAUGGGUGACCAUAUGUCUGUCAAUCCAGUAGUAGGCCAAAACACAAAAUAUUGACACAAAGAGCACAAAUAUCCUUCUGGUUAGAGAGUCCUUGUGUCAGUGUUACCUUUUUCUUCUUUAGCUUUUUGGAAAAGUUCACCUAGGUGUUUUACUAAAUGGUAUAUGUUAAACAUGAUAGUCUGAAUUUGCAAAAGAAGUUUCCAGCUUGGGAUUCAAAACCAUGCCAACAUUGAUGAUUUUUUUUAUUGCUGUAGACCUAUAUAGAUUCCUUUUGUGCCUUUCAGGAGACAUUGUUAUUUUUAUGCUUAUUGCCUUUCUUUAAAAGUAUGGUUCUGAUUUGUGCCUGCUUAUUUCUGAUAUUCAUGCUUUAAUAAAAAAACUAUAAUGUGUAGUCAUGAACAAAGAAAUCGAUAUUGAGCUACUCUUAUGAAUGCUUCAAAGUGUAAGCUUACCUGUCAUUUUAUGGGUAUGGCUAGAAUAUAGAACAAGCAACUACAGUACUUGCUAUAUUUCUUAUCUUGUUGUAAUGUUUUAUUUUGACAUGCUUCAUUUUUAUACAAAUUUUUUGUGAUUAAUCUUCAGAAGGAAAAAAGUGAUGGCUGAGUGGAGCAAUUCUGUUCGUCCAAUUGAGUGGAGAUGCCACUGGUUAGAGUUGCGAAUGAGGGAACUGUCAUCUCAAGUAUCAAAGUAUGACAGGGAGCUUGCUCUAAUAAAGAAACAAAAGGAAUCAAAACAAGCAGUAAGCAAAGCAAAUGGUACUAUGUCAGAAUCGAUGCAGAUUCACAAAGGCCAUGGAAAGAGUAUCAUGAAGAGGAGAAAGAGGAAGAGGCAUGAAGAAAAUGUUGAUGCGUCCUCGUACAUCAGCAAGCACCGGAUAUUGUCAUACUACCAUGGUCUGGCAUCCAAUUAUGUCGUCUUCUUUGUAGGGAUAGGACAUCAAUUUAUCUGUGUUUGUGUUAAUUUUGCACCAGGUUUCGUUCUUAAUGACAAUAAUUCUUUCAAUAUUUUGCAGAUAAACAAAAUAAGGGAGCUGAAACUGAUGGUGUCUUGGUUGAUGACGAUUGUGUCACAGGUAUGAAUAUAUCUAUUCAGUAUCUUGUCAAACUUUUCAGUGAAGUUAAAAUGGAAAACAUAGUAUCUAGCAAAGGUACACCAUUAGACAGAAUUAGCUCUUGACUCAGUUGUGAGAAAAAAGUUGCUUUUGUUACACCAUAUGCAGUAUGCACGCUAUCAAAGGAAACCAAGAUAUCUAAUAUAACCUUGGUGCCCCAGUUUUUUUCUUUAACACAAAGGAGACCUGCGCAUCUUUGUAUUAAGAAUAAAAAGGGGCAAGAACCCUUACAAUGCACACCGACACACCCUUUGAUUUUAAGAAAAAUAAGCGCCCUUUUUGUACAACAAACAUGAUCUUGACCAAAACUAGAAACUAGACACCAUCCCAUUUUUGCCUUUUCAUUUUAGACUAUACCUUCGAUUUUACUUUAUUAGAAUAUAUAUGUCAAUAAAAGUAUAAAACCUACAAUUGUUUGAAAGCACAUUACAUGGCAAUUUUUUAAUGUCAUUUAUGUGACAAAUCUUAAUGCUUACAUGUACUUUUGUGGUCUUGGUUUUUAAAGUUGGAAAGUAUCCAAGCAAAUAUUCUCUCUAUCCAAGUAUGUAGGGUGUAUUUUAUUUUGGCAGUGUUCAAAACUAGACCUUUUUUUAACCGGGAUUGAAAACUAGACUUUGAUCAUUUUUUUCUCGCAAUACUGUUUACACAUUACAGCUAUAACACGAAUUCAGUGUGAAAGCACUUUGAAAUAUUUAUGCAGCUGUAUUGUUUAUACACAAGUAAUACAUAAUUUGACUAAGCUUAAAUCAGAUAUAUGGUCUUUGAAUUUCCAGAAACAUGCAUACCUUACAUAAUUUGAAAGAGUUAGUUUAUAUAGCCAUAUGAUAAAAUCAUAAAACAUGCCAACAUCUUCCUGACCCUCUAUGGUUUUAUUUGAUAUUAUGGUAGCUUUCCCAUUUUUGGAUAGAUCAAUGAAGGACAUACAUAACCACUCGAGGUUUAGUUAAAUUGGCCAUGCAGAAACUGUGAUUCAUCUUUAUUCUCUGCCUAAGUAAUUGUCAUGCAAGUGCUAACUGUGUAUUUGGUUCAUUCUGAUUGCAGUUGAUGGUAGUAGCAGAGGUGGACUUGACACUGCUACAUUGCUUGAUUCCGAGGAUUAUGAUAUGAUUUGCGAGCAACGUACUUUACAGGAUAUUCUCCUGGAAAUUGAUGGGGUUCAGUCUCGAGUUCAAUUGCUGAAAGAUCGUCUCAACAAGGCUCAUUCUGAAGGAGAAAAUUUGGCAUUUUCUGGGGGCGAUACUCAUGUCCGGGUGUCUCGGAAGAGACAGCAUACUCAAAAGCACUCAUUCUCUUAUACAAAGUCUCGACACACUAAACCACAGAAAAAGAAGAAUCUAAACAUUUUGCUGAAGGAUGAUGAUGGACAAGCUCUUGCAGGAGGAUCUGCUUUGCUUCACAGAGAAACUGGUGCUCAUAUAAUAGGUACAAGUAGGAGUACUGAAGAAAGAAGUGGAGAGUGCAAUCACUUGAGGGACAAAGCCAUCACUUUGGACCUACUGUUGGGUACUGGCAAUUCCAUAACAAAUAGUGAUAUUGGGGAUUUAUACAAAGAAGUAAGUCUUUGGCCCUUUGCUUAUUCUUAUUCCUAAUUUAAUAAUUCAUUGCUUGUUUGGAGUUGGGUUGAUACUCUGGAAUUGCUGCUUACAGAUUAGAAUUUGGAUCAUCUUAUAUGCAAAUUAAGCUUGGGAUGUAUAAAUUCGCCCAUUUACUAUUUCUAGAGAAAAUAUUGAGAAAAUUACACUGCAUUUCUAAAAAUAUUGCAGGGAUGUCCGCUUUACUUGAUUACAUUUAAAUAAAAAAAGCAUGAUACCCAUGUAAACAUCUACUGUUUCUCUGUAGGAACCUGGAUCUGUAGUUAUGUCUUGGAUAUGAGGUAGGGGCUUAAAAAUUAUUAGGAUGUUUGUAAAUUAGAUCCAUACAGAAUUCUAUAUCUGCUUUGUUAGUCAUAGAUAUAAGAUAUCUCUAGUGAAAUUUGCAUGUUAUAAGAUUGAAGCCAUCAGGGGAGCAAUGUGAUGAAGCUAGUUAUUUUUAAAUUUGUUUUUGCAAACACACAAAUACUAGUAAUAUAGUAUGUUAUGUUUCCAUGACUACAUUUUGAAAGCUUAAUGAUAGUUGUGCAUCUAAAACUAUUUCACUGAUGUUGAACCACUAACGUUUUAGCUGAUUGGGCGAUAUAUUUGCACUAGCAGUAGCAUUUAGUUGAUACUACUGUUUCUUUUCUUUUUCUGUAGAACACUGAUGAUAUCCUCAUAGACAAUCAAGGAGCCAAUGAAGCUUGUGAGCAGUUUUAUAAGGCAAAGCAGCCUUCUGGAAGUUCUUCCAAAGACCAGAACAUUUCUGCUGCAGCAGAAAUGAAGAAUAAUUCUCCACCAGUGGAACUGAAGAACACUAGUGCUGCAGUUAAAGUUGAGAGCAUUUAUGCUCCAGUUGAAGUAGAUAGCACUUCUGCACCAGCAUUGGAGCAAGAGUCAUUCCUUGAAAAGUCACCCUCGAGGAAGCCUGUCUCCCCUGGGAACAAGCAGGAGCUGGAACCUAAGACAAGGCAGAAGAAGAAAGUCUCUUUCUUUACCAAGAAGCAGAGGAAAGAGGCCUCCAGAACUCCUGAUGCAAAGGAAAAAACUGAGGGCAUGUCCUCAGCUGCAAAGAACCAAAGGAGCACGGCCUCUGAUGUAGCAAAGGAGAAAACUGAAAGCACACCCUCUGCUGCAACAGGUCCAGGUGGAAAGAAGCGUAAAUCUGGAAUUGAACCUGCAAAUGCAGAGAAGCCAUCCUCAGCAGUGAAGAAGCAGAAAACUGGGAAGCCAUCCUCAGCAGCUACAAGGGCGCCAAAGGCUAAAAAUGCAGGCCCAGCAACAAAGAAGCAGGAGACUGAAAGCUCAUCCUCCACAGAGAAGACCGCGAGUGCCCCCCUGAAGUUGCAGGUUGAGAAGGCUGUACUGGUUGUAAAUAGCAGGAGGAGCCAAAGGGUCCGUAAGCCCAAAGUUUUUGCUGAAUGAAGAAGCAGAUAGAAUCGUCUUAGGCUCUCUGGUGUGUAUGUAUCUUGUAGCCUCGCCACCAAAAUCGGUGGCCAUAUCAACAUAGGAAGUGCUGGAUCGCCGCACAAGUUAGACUUUAGUGUACAUAUAUCAGCUCUGCCUAGGUGGAAGAAAGUCUCACCCAAAUUGUAGAUUUGUUGGUUGGUUGUUUUUAACCCUUCUCUUCUGGGGUACCAGAUUAACAAUGUCAUGCUGUGUUACCGUUAUAUCGAAAAGAAAAAAAAAGGAGAAAAAUAUGCCAUGCAACUGCAACUUGACUUGUCGCAUCUUCGUGCCUUUAACUUACGGAGUUUUGGUAACAUGUAGCAUUUUUGUUUUAUUUGAUAAUUAAUGUUUAAUUAUAGACUAAUUAAGUUUAAAAGAUUCGUCUUGCAAAUUAUUUUUUAGCUAUGUUUUUAGUUUCGUAACUAGUUUAUAUUUAGUAUUUCAUGCAUAUAUUUAAACAUUUAAUGUGACAUGAGUUAAAGUUUACCGUGACGAACCAAACGGGACUAAACCGCCUGUGCAGUUUCAAUCUUGAAAGCGAGAUUGGCAGCAGUGGUGUCGAGGAGGAAGAUCGAAGCAGUGGUAGGUCGUGACUGGAUAACUGGUACUCCAUUAACGAACACAAGGACUCUGAUGCACCUAACCAUGUCCUUGGACCUUGGCCAUGUGAACUCUGAGCCCACACCUUUUCUCCUGAUCAGACAUUGGCCAUCUCUUGUGAUGCUGCAAUUGCAGUUUGCAGGAUACCAUGAAUCGAUCCAGCUACUUCACCACUGUUGUGCUAGCCAGGCUGCUACCACAGGCGAGAAAGGAUGGAGGACCCUCAAGGCCUUGUUUAAGGGAAAAAUUUCGUUACACUGUAGUACUUUCGUUUGUUUGUGGUAAUUAUUAUCUAACUAUAGACUAACUAGGCUCAAAAGAUUCGUGUCGUAAAUUCCAACCAAACUGUACAAUUAGUUUUUAUUUUUGUCUAUAUUUAAUAUUCCAUGCAUACGUCUAUAUAUUUAAUGUGACGGAGAAUCUUAAUAAAUUUUGGGUUUUAGGGUGGAAGUAAACAAAGCCUGCCUGUGCCAGCUGUGCUGAUGGAUGAAGCUGUAAUCUUGCAGUUACAUACUCCUAUAUGGGAAUGUGCAUGGGCCAAAGUAAAGAUGCGAUUGCCAAUUGAUUGGCCAUGUUUGGAAACCCAACUGUUCUCUUUAUCACACUUACUAUAUCUGUACUAUAAGCAAUUGAAUUUUCUCGAUUCAGACAACCGAUGCGAUCUGAACUCGCCAGGGAUGGAGUUCGUAGCUGUUGGAGGAUGGCCACUGGCCAAUGGACGACGUCGAUCUGAAAUUCACUGCCUUGAAGCCGAGUUAUUUGAUCAACCUCAAUCCACAUGUGUUAGAGUGAAUUAGGAUGAAAUUUAGUUAAAUUUCACUUCAAUUCAUCCCAACACAUUUGUACCGCUGUAAAUCUGAUUACAGGCUGAACUGCAUAGCGACCGAAAAGUAUCAAUCCUUUUGUUUACAACACUUAGGCCAUCGGAUGAAAGUUUGAAAAAUAGGACACCGAGUCUCCACCUAUAGAUCCUGCAUACCUGACGGAUGGCAUUUCUCCGUGUGGUUGAUGCAUGAGGAAAAAAGGCUUGGGCCUAGUUUUCAUCCAAAAAUUUUCAUCCAUUCCAUCGAAUCUUUGGACAUAUGUAUAGAACAUUAAAUGUAUAUAAAAAAAUAAACUAAUUACAUAGUUUGGUUGAAAAUUGUGAGACGAAUAUUUUAAGUCUAGUUAGUCCAUGAUUAGCCUUAAGUGCUAAUGAUCGAUUAAUUAUACUUAAUAGAUUUGUCUUGAAGUUUCUAGACAAGCUAUGUAAUUUAUUUUUUUAUUAGUUUCUAAAAACCUCUUCUAAUAUCUUUCCAACACAUCUGAUGUGACACUCAAAAUUUUUUCAAUCUUGGCCUCGGUUGAUGCGUGACGAAGUGGAUAGCGACCGAAAAAUAUCGUGAAUACGGAGAGAAACUGCUAGUAAUUGCAGCACUGAAGCUUCAAUGUGAUUGCCAGGGCCGGGCAGGUAGACGAAGGCCUUGUUUAGUUGCCAAAAUUUUUUGAAUUUUGUUAUUGUAGUACUUUCAUUUUUAUUUGACAAAUAUUGUCCAAUCAUAAAGUAACUAGACUUAAAAGAUUCGUCUCGCAAUUUACAGACAAAUUGUAUAAUUAUUUUUUAUAUUUAAUGCUCGAUGCAUAUACCGUAAGAUUUAAUAUGACGAAAAAUCUUGAAAAGUUUUUGGUUUUUUGUGCGAACUAAGGCCCUGUUUAGUUUCCCACCUAAAAAAUUUUUAUCCAUCCCAUCGAAUCUUUAGACAUAUGCAUGGAACAUUAAAUGUAGAUAAAAAAAUAAAUUAAUUACACAGUUUGAUUGAAAAUCGCGAGAUGAAUCUUUUAAGCCUAGUUAGUCUAUGAUUAGCCUUAAGUGCUACAGUAACCCGCAUGUGCUAAUGAUAGAUUAAUUAUACUUAAUAGAUUUGUCUUGGAGUUUCCAGACGAGCUAUGUAAUUUGUUUUUUUAUUAGUUUCUAAAAAUAUCUUCCGACAUCCUUCCGAUAUAUCGAUGUGACACCUAGAAAUUUUUCAUCCCCGGUCUGGCCUAAACAAGGCCGAAGCUGGAGCUCACCUGCUCGCGUACCUGCAUGCCUGCCUGCUCUGAGCAUGUUCAACAGCCUUCACGUCGCACUGCAUACCUGGCUGGAAUCAUCAUGAUGCAUCAAGGAAAAAAAAACAGCUGAAACCAAAAGAAUGGAACGGCUCUGUUUACUCCUUCAGUCUAAAAAAAAAUUACAACUCUUUUUUUCUGUGAAAUCAAAUAAUUUCGAAUUUAACUACAUUUAUAUAAGAAAAUAGUAAUAAUAGUUACAAUGUCAAGUAAGUAUCAUUAGAUUAAUUAUAUAAUAUAUUUUAUUAAUAAACUUGUUCAAAAAUAUAAAUAUUUAUAUUAUUUUUUAUAAAUUCGAUCAAAUCUAAGAAAGUUUAAGGGCUUUUUCCGAGCCUGCCAUGCCCAUGGAUCCAUCUUCAGCGUCAUCGCAUCUAUUGGUUUCCAGAACUCUCUCGUCAUCUAAUGUGUUGUUCGUUUAACUUUUUAAUACUUGUUCAUUUAAUCUUAUCUGUCAAAUCUGUCAACUAUUUAAUAGUGUUUUUCUCUUAUAACAAAUUAGAACCAUGAUUUUUCUGUCAAAUGCUCUUGCCUCUUAGGCUGCCUUGCAUCCAUGGAGGGAGGAGCAACUCAUCCAGGCCGUGCACUAUGAGCCUGAUGCAAACGAGCAUAUUCUGUAAAAUUCUUGUGAACUUUAGGGGCCUACUUGUCCGUUGGGUCUGACAAGAUAUGUCUAUUCGCUUAAACUUAUUUGUCUAAUCCAUCAUUUAUUCAACAAUAUUUUUUUUCAAAAUAAAUCAGCGAACAAUACUUUCAGCUAAUAUGAGAACACCAUUGGCUCCUUCGUCAUAGUUCCUUUCUUUGGCAUGGCUCUCUCUAGCUCGGGCUCCAUGCUAAUGUGCUGGAGGAGUCAGAGCCGAAGAACUUAGAAAACACGGCUUCCUCGUACUCCUAGUUCAUUUUACGAGAAGAGAGAAAAAGUAAUUUCUUGCUACAGCAGUUGGUUUAGUAGGAGCUGGAGCCAGACGUGUUUGGCUUAGGGGAUUAAAGUUUAAGAGAUGUCACAUGUGAUGUCACAUCAGGUGUUCGGCACAAAAUAAUUACAGAACUUGUAACUAAUUCAUGAUUUUAAUCUAUUAAACUUAAUUAAUAUAUCAUUAGAGCAACUCCAGCAAUAACCUCAAAAACAGGGUCCUACUUUUUAUUUGAGUGCUCCUCUACUUUUAGGUACUCAAAAUUUUGCUUUUACUUCAACAACACCACCCAAAUGAAGGCUCCCAAAUCCAAAAUAAGCAGACAAUGACAUGUGGGAUCCACUUGUCAUUAUAUUAAAUCUUUCUUCCUCACAUCCUCCAUACAGAGGUCAAAACGCAAAGAAGAUGAGAGCUCUCGGCGCAUCGGGGGCAACGCCCGCGUGGUGGGGAAGGGGGCACGUCGGAGUUGCGCAUCGGCGGACCCACCCAGUGGUGGAGGUCGGGAGUGGAGGGAGGGAGCGCAGUAGUGAAGAUCCACGCUAGAGGGAGGUGGGCGAGGCUGCGUCUGUAUGGUGUGGGGAGGUAAUGACCACACCACGCAGAAUGAGGGCUGGGUUGUUGAGCCAACAGGAAUAGGAUCUAGAGGGGAGAUUUGGGUGCCCACCCCAAAUUGGGGGCUCUAGUAGGGGUCUUGCUGGAGUGUUGUUUUUAGCCUGAGUACCUAUAUUUAGCUAUGUGGACUCAAGUAAGGGUCUGCUGGAGUUGCUCUUAGCAUAUGUUUAUGUAGCAUCACAUUAUCAAAUCAUUGGCUAAUUAGGUUUAAUAGAUUUAUCUCAUAAAUUAAUUUCAAUCUAUACAAUUAGUUUCAUAAUUAGUUUAUAUUUAAUAUUCCAAAUAAUUGUCCAAAUAUUUGAUGUAAUAGUAAGCUUUAGAGAUAAUCAAACACUCCAGCCAAACAUGCUAGGUAGUUUCGUUGAGGCGCAAGUGUGAAGCCGUGCGUGAAGCGCUUCUACCAAACAGCGCUGGUCCACUUUCAGGUUCUUGUAUGUAUUGAAGUCGGACGGAAACCAACAGGAAACGGAUCUGAGAAAUGAAUGCAGAAUUAUUUCCUGUAUGAAUUCCGUUGCCCAUCUCUAUCAUGGGCCGUACUUCCUGCUUCUAGGCCCGGCCCCCGGGUGGUUGGGAGAAACAAAAGCCUAACGCUGACGGACAGGCAUUGAAUGAAAGCCCAUUUGCUACCUGUACUUUGUCAGGCUUUGCUUAGCUCGUUAGAUUUUUGAAAAAUCUACAUCACCCCUAAACUAUGAACUAUGGAUGUGUCUACUUUACCUCCCAGUAUAAUUUAUCUUUUGAAUUAUCCAAAACUGUUCAAAUCACCUUCAUUGGUUUUUUAUGGCGGUUUUGCUACAUUAACCAUGAUUUUACUAGAGUAACUGCGAUUUUGACUUUUUCCUAUUUGUUUUUAUAUAAUCUUUGAAAAAUCAUAGUAAAUCACAAAAAAAUCAUAAAAUAGAAAACCUAAUUUUGUUAGACUCCGCAUGAGUAGAUCUACGCAAUGAAUAUAUAAUAUGGUAUACUUUAGUACAAUUUUUUUUGUACCUUUAAAUUAGUUAGAAAAAUCAAAAUUUUAUCUGUAAUUAAUUAGAAUAAUUCAUAGCUUUUGUGGUCCAAUUAUGGUGAAAUUUUUGUGGUGGACUAAUUAUUCUAUGCUUGAACUAUAAUAUAACUAUUUUUUUAUGGUGGACUAAUUUUUCAUACUCAUCGGAUCUUGUAUAACUUAGUUAUAAAUUUAUUUAUAUUUAACAAGCAUAAACCUGAAUAAACCCAAAUAAACUUAAUUACAGAUAAAAUCUGAUUUUUCUAACUAAUUUAAAGCUAUAGAAAAAAUUUGUAUUAAAGUAUACCGUAUUAUAUAUUCAUUGCGUAGAUCUACUCAUGCAGAGUCCAACAAAAUUAGAUUUUCUAUUUUAUGAUUUUUCUGUGAUUUACUAUGAUUUUUCAAAGAUUAUAUAAAAACAAAUAGGAAAAAAGUCAAAACCACAGUUAAUGUAGCAAAACCAUGGUUAUUGUAGCAAAACCGCCAUAAAAACCACCCAGGGGGUGAUUUGAACGGCUUUGGAUAGUUUAGGGGUAAAUUAGACUGUUUCAUAGUUCGGGAUAAAGUAGAGACCACACCAUAGUUCGGGGAGUGAUGUAGACUUUUUUCUUAAUUUUUUUGGUUUUGCCUACUAUAGCAAUUUUGUUUGUAUAUAAUAAUUAUUGUCUAGUUACAGAAUAAUUAGUUUCGAAAAAUUUGUCUCACAAAUACAGGUAAACUGUGAAGUUAGUUUUUAUUUAUAUUUAAUGCUCCAUGCAUAUGUCCAAAGAUUUGAUAUAAUGAGAAAUUUUGAAAAAAAAAAUGGAAAUUAAACCAUAUUGUACGAAAAUACAUACUAGUAGUUACUACCCGUGUAGCAAUAUUAGAAUAGAAUAAUAAAAAAAAGGUCAUCAGGAGUAGGAUCUUGCUCAUUCAUUUAUCUUCCAUCGUAUUAUAAAUUUCUACAAAAUAGACACCAUGUCAAAAGAAUUUAAAUAUCAAUUUAUCCUUGUGAGUUGAAGAUGCAUGUAGUUUCAAUAAAACUUUUAGUCAAAAUUUAUAUAACUUGACUUUUCUUUUUCUAAAAUAACACUAUGUGACCAUUUUUGUUUAUUGGCAAUUUCGACCACCAUUUCCAUUUCGCAAGUUCAAUCUGUAGUACUAGCUUGGGGCUAACAAAAAAUAAAUAACAGUGUGCCAGCCCAAUAAAUCCUCACCGUCGUAGUGUUCGCUAGGUCUGGACGUUCGGUAUGACCGAAGCGAACCGAUCGGUUCCUCGGUUAUUUUGAAAGUUCGGUCAUCACAAAAUAAGGACCGGUCGGUUAGUUGAAAAAAUAAAGACCGAGCAAUUUCGGUCUCGGUUAGUUCGGUUCGGUCUCGGUCACGACCGAACUAACCGGACUAGCACAUUUGUAUCAAAUUUCAGCAGCAUGUUUGCACAAAAUAAUACAAAUAUUUUGGUUCUCCUUAUUCAAAUACUAACUAUAGUAGCAUCUCACAACUCACAAGUCACAAACUCACAAUGACACAACAAAAACAACACACAAUCAAGUCUUUUAAAAGAUAAAAAAAUAGUUUAGGAUUCCCAACAGAGAAUUUCGGUUAGUUCGGUUAACCGACAUUUAUACCCGAACUAACCGUAUAAAGUUCGGUUAGUUAGAAGCAAGGACCGAAUUUAUGACCGAAAAGUUCGGUCUCGGUCUCGGUUAGUUCGAUUCGGGGUUAAUUACGCCCCGAGUGACUGUUCGCUGCCACCCGUGCCAGGUGAGAGGAAGAGAAAAGGUGGGAAAAAAACACACGGAUACCCAACACGAUAUACAUGGGCGCAGUACCUGCCCACACUGUGCCCACAAACAAGGACGAAUGGAUCUAUCACGCUGCUGUUUCACUUCGCAAGCACUGGAGCAGCGCAGCACAAGAAUUUGUAAUUCCUACCCUGCCCUACAAAAUACAGAAUAUCAAGUACCUUGAAAUAAUAAAAUAUAAAAUGCAAAAUUUUUCAUUGGUAUGUUUACUUUUAUCCAAUAUACCAAAAUUUUUAGGGUCCAAAAUACAUGGAGCUGUUUUUAUGGGGGUUUUUUCUGAGCUCUUAAGACCAAAAUUCAAAGUACAAAAUACUAGCAACCAAUUUGCCAAAACAAUUUAAAUGAUAUUAGUUCCAUUAUGAUGCUCAAAAUCUAAAAAAAAAAUACCCAUAUGGAAAACUAAAUAGGCCCAUAGAUAUGUGUGGACACGGCAAUUUCUUUUUUUUUUUAAAAAAAAAGAUUCGCGGAUAAGUCUGAGUACCUUUUAAAUAUAAAUAAACAAUAAUACACAUUGAAUUUUCAAUACAUAACAGCAUACGGUAGCGCAUAUAUAUUACAGUAAUACACCAAAUUCACAAAUAACAAAUCCAUACUCUAUCUAGAGUUCACAGUUCACAAAGUAUAAAAAUCGGAUACUCCGGCGAUACAUAUCGGGGCGUAUCGUUCGUUGGGAUACGACCCUGACCUCAAGUAUUCGUGCUGCGUAGGAGGAUAGUCCAAUAAAAGUGGCGCCGGCGCCUGCCCUCCCCCUUCACCGGUCCAUUGUUUCCAUCCCGCACCAGAGGCAGGCAGGCGGUCCGAUACCGACCAACGCCUCCUCUCUCUCUCUCUCUCCGGCGGGCUCUCCUCUUUCUCUCUCUCUCUCUCUCUCUCUCUCUACCUACUAGUAUAGGAGUGUAUCCAUCUUCAUCCAGCAGCUGAGCAGCAACCACCAGCAAAGAUGGUGCACCCGAUUGCGGAGGCCGACGAGCGGAGCCCCUUCGGGCGCCUGACGCCGGACGAGUUCUACGCGCGGCACGGCGUGACCCACUCCACCUCCUCCUUCGUCAACCCUCGGGGCCUGCGCAUCUUCACCCAGCGCUGGGUGCCCCGCGGGGACGGCGCCCGCGUCCUGGGCGCCGUCGCCGUCGUGCACGGCUUCACGGGCGAGUCCAGCUGGAUGGUCCAGCUCACGGCCGUCCACCUCGCCGCCGCGGGCUUCGCCGUCGCCGCGCUCGACCACCAGGGCCACGGCUUCUCCGAGGGCCUCCAGUGCCACGUCCCCGACAUCGAGCCGGUCCUCGACGACUGCGACGCCGCCUUCGCGCCGUUCCGCGCCGACUACCCUCCCCCGCUCCCCUGCUUCCUGUACGGGGAGUCGCUCGGCGGCGCCAUCGCGCUGCUGCUCCACCUCCGGAACAGGGACCUGUGGCGGGACGGCGCCGUCCUCAACGGCGCCAUGUGCGGGAUCAGCGCCAGGUUCAGGCCGCCGUGGCCGCUCGAGCACCUGCUCGCCGCGGCGGCCAAGGUCGUCCCCACCUGGCGCGUCGCCUUCACCAGGGGGAACAUCCCCGAGCGGUCCUUCAAGGUGGACUGGAAGCGCAAGCUCGCGCUCGCGUCGCCGCGCCGCACCACGGCGCCGCCCAGGGCCGCCACGGCGCUCGAGCUCCUCCGCGUCUGCCGCGACCUGCAGCAGCGGUUCGAGGAGGUCAAGCUGCCGCUCCUCGUCGUGCACGGCGCCGAGGACACCGUCUGCGACCCGGCCUGCGUCCAGGAGCUCUACACGCGCGCCGGGAGCAGCGACAAGACGCUGCGCGUCUACCCCGAGAUGUGGCACCAGAUCAUCGGCGAGCCCGAGGAGAACGUCGAGAAGGUGUUCGACGAAAUCAUCGACUGGCUCAAGGCACGCGCCGCCACCGCUACAGCCGCGGGCGCGCACCACGGUGAGCAGUAGGUUGGGCACGCCUCCCGCGUGCGUGCGUGCGUGCGUGCCCAUGGCCUUGAACCGCGCCUGGUCCAUGACGGAUUCUAUGGAGUAUCGAGGACGGGUCCAGCAAUAAACUUGUUAUGAUGCAUCUCUUUCUCUUGUGAAAACCCCGGUCUAGCAUCUGCAACCGCUUCAGAUGCCGCCAUGCCUACAUGAAUCUUGCAGCUUUGAUUCUUAUCCCCACAUAUGUUCGCUUCUUGACUUCUUGUUCUUGUCCCCACCGACCCGGUCUAGUAUUGCAGAAGUAGUUGGCAGUUGGGAGUUGGGCGUGUAAAAUUAAAUGUAAUAAAUUAAAAUGCAUUGCAGAAGUAGUUUGGAUGGAAAACCAGAUUCCGAUUGACACUACUCGAUCCGAGCAGAUGUUGACUCGGAUACCGUCCUGCCGUGUUCUUGUGUUAUUUAAAGCAGCCCGCCCUCCUGAUCCAUGGAGCGAACAGAGAACCACGAGUAUCCGACGUUUCUGCUGCAUCGACCAACAGACAGAUACAAGUCGAUCGAUACGGAGAUGGAGGGAGAACUGGAGAUGAGCCACGUGCAGGCGCUGCCCGAGGACAUGCUCGCGGGCGUGCUCCGCUGCCUGUCCCCGCGCAGCCUGGCCGUGUGCCGCUGCGUCUGCAAGGCCUGGCACGGCGUCAUCGACGGGCACAGGCUGCUGCGCGCCGAUCUCCUCCCGCUCUAGCUCCAUGGGCGGCAUAUUCAUCAACUUCUGCAUGCUGGGGCUGCUCGAGUUCUUCUCCUGCCGCGACGCCGCCGACGGCGGUCUCCAAAGACAUAUUCGUCGGCCACUGCAACGGCCUCCUCCUAGGCUACAGAAGCGUGGUUAACCCUGCGACGCGACAGUGGGCACCCUUGCCUCGGCUCCCACCUCCAUGCCCAGAGAAACUGCCCUACUUUUGGCACCUGGCAUUUGACCCGGCCGUCUCGCCGCACGACGAGGUGUUCUUGAUGCCAUUCGUUCAUAGCAGCUGGUUUUUGCCUAGAGUCGACCCAGUGAUGGCGAAAUCAGAAUGGCCGCCGUCGACAUGCGAGACGCUGGUGUUCUCGUCCAGGACAGGGCGCUGGGAGGAGAGGUCAUUUGUCCGGCAAGGGGGACCUGCGGGAACCAUGGUCGACAUGGCGCGGGCUAACUCACUUGAUCGCAAGCGUUACAGUGUCUAUUGGCAUGGAGCACUCUACGUGCACUCCAACAACUUCUUCUGCAGAAUAUCGCUGGCUACCAAUGAGUAUCGGGUCAUUAAACCGCCGGUGAAAAUUGGGACAUACAGUGAAUGCUGCUACCUGGGAAAAUCGGAGAAAGGGGUGUACUGUGCGAUACUUAAUCACAAGUUCCAGUUUCGGGUAUGGAUUCUCCAUGAAUCGUCUUCUGGUCGUCAGAUGAAAUGGGAGCUAAAGCAUCGAAACAACAACCUUAAGACGGCAAUGGCGAGUCUGGACUACUCUUAUCAGCCAGAGGAUGGUGGAGCCUGGUCCUUCGAGGAUAUUAACUAUUAUCAUAUGUUCCCGGAUGAAAAAGAUGGUGUUAACCACAAUGAAGAUGGUAGCGGCGACGACUGCAAAGAACCACCGGUGAAGCCUAAGAUCACAGACAACUUUUACAUUACCAUACUUGGGUUUCAUCCGUUUAAAGAGAUUGUGUACCUGAGCAACUUCUACAGCAUGGGACUGGCCUAUCACCUUGACAGUUCCAAGGUCCAGUACUUGGGUAACAUGUGCCCAAAGCUCUAUGGUGUCCUCGCUGGGCAGCACGCAGAUAUUGAAACAUCUUUCCCGUACACGCCUUGCUGGAUGGAGAAUUCAUAUAUUACAGGCUCCACUUGAAUGCAUUUUAUUUAGUGGAACCCAGCCUCUGCUUGUGGUGGAACCAGCUAGUUUUUUUAAUGCCCUGUUUAGUUUCCCACCUAAAAAAAUUUCAUCCAUCCCAUCGAAUCUUUAGACACAUGCAUGAAACAUUAAAUGUAGAUAAAAAAAUAAACUAAUUACACAGUUUGGUUGAAAAUCGCGAGACGAAUCUUUUAAGCCUAGUUAGUCCAUGAUUAGCCUUAAGUGCUACAGUAACCCACAUGUGCUAAUAACAAAUUAAUUAUGCUUAAUAGAUUUGUCUUGCACUUUCCUGACGAGCUAUGUAAUUUGUUUUUUUAUUAGGCCUUGUUUAGUUCCAAAAUUUUUGGCAAAAUGAGCACUGUAGCAAUUUCGUUUGUAUUUGACAAAUAUUGUUCAAUCAUGGACUAACUAGGCUCAAAAGAUUCGUCUCGUCAAUUCCGACUAAACUGUGCAAUUAGUUUUUAUUUUUAUCUAUAUUUAAUACUCCAUGCAUACGUCUAAAGAUUCGAUGUGACGGGGAAUCUGAAAAAUUUUGCAAAAUUUUUGGGGAACUAAACAAGGCCUUAGUUUCUAAAAACCCCCUCCGACAUAUCCGAUGUGACACCCAAAAAUUUUUCAUCUUCAAUCUAAACAGGCCCAACUCAGCACUGAGUUGUGUGCGACAUCGGUGCACUUGUGGCUGCCAAGCCAAAUGAGCAAGUACAUGAGACAAGUUGUACAUGAUUCAAUGAGUAUACAUUUUUUACUACUGUUUAAGCAUAUACUAUAAUUAGAUCAUCAUAAAAAAUUCAUCACAAUUGGACCAGAGGCGUCCCGGCCAAAUAUGAGGCCCAGUUCAAAACAUUAAAUGGAGGCCUAGCAUCUAUUGUCAAAAUCUAAAAAAGAUAAUAUCAAAUAUCACUAUAUUACAAAGGCAAUGUAUAAAGGAUUAACUAAAUAAAAAUAUGGAUUAUGUAUGGAAUUUAUAUCAGGCAAUGAUCUCCGUCUGGCGUCCUAAUCUGAGUUCGGCCGUCUAGGAUUGCUACUAGGUCUCGACUCUUGAGCGACGAACAACUCCAAGGGCAAAGAAGAAGUCCAAGGGACUAGAAGAAUUACCGACUAUAGACUUUUCUAACUCACGAUUACGAAGCCAUAAACUUAUGAAGGGUUACAAACUUAUGUGAAGAAAAAUUACCGGCUAUAGACUUUUCUAACUCACGAUUUUGGACUCAAUGUGCUUUCUCUCAAGGAAAUAACAGGCCACGUUUAUUGAGUCUCUGUGACUAAUUUACUAAUUAAAACAAACUUAAAAUUAUUAUAUAUACUUAGAAUAUUUAAUAAAUUUUGAGGCCCAUAAAUUUUAGGGGCCCAGUUCGAUCGCACAGUCCGCACGGGCUUCGGGACGCCCCUGAUUGGACUAUAGAAACUGUAACUAUAAAUUAUUUCAUUUAAUUAAAAAAAGCAUAUAUAUAUCUAAAGUCAUAGUAAAAACUUUGUAUCGAAGCAUACUAUAUUAUAUGUUGAAUGUAUAGAUUUACUCACGUGGAGUCUAAUAAAAUUAGAUUUUUUAUUUAUUUAUGAAUUUUCUGUAAUUUACUAUGAUUUUUUAAAAUUCCCAAAACAAAUAAAAAGAAAAAAGGAUAAAACCGUCUUCAAAAUCGUUUCUAACAGGAGGUAAAAUGAACCGUUUUAAAAAUUAAUAGAAAUAUUUUAUCGGGUUUUAGAGUUUGAGUACAAACGGACUUUGGCGAAAGUGUUUUUACUAUUGCAAAGGCGUUGGGGCGUGCCACCAGCACUUCUUCAUCGGCCAGCGUCGCGGGUCCUGGGAGCCAUGUUCCCGGAACAUAGGCUACGUGGUACGGGAACGUGGUACGCGGUACGACAUUUUCAUAAACUAUGGAACGUAGGGGGUAUAUAGCUUCGUCUCGUUCCUUUAAGUUGUGGAACACGUUCCACUUUCUAAAGGAACGUGUUUGGGACGUAGUGGUUGGCUCAGAUAGUGGUUGACUCCUGGCGCUGCUCCCUCUCAGGAUUGUCGGUCCAAAGUUCAAAAGAAAAAGAAAAAGGAUUGUCGGUCCUAAAGCUGGGAGGAGUGGGCUUAGUGCCUUGUUUAGAUACACCCAAAAACCUAAAACUUUACAAGAUUCUCCAUCACAUCAAAUCUUGCAGCACAUACAUGGAACAUUAAAUAUAGAUAAAAAAGAUAACUAAUUGUACAGUUUAUAUGUAAAUUACGAGACGAAUCUUUUAAGCCUAGUUGCUCUAUGAUUGAAUAAUGUUUGUCAAAUAAAAACGAAAGUGCUACAGUGUCAAAAUCCAAAAAAAAUUUUAGAUCUAAACAAGGCCUUACUCUUAUCCGGCCCAACAUUCCUUUUCUUCGCUACGUGACCGCCUGACCGGCCUUCCUAAAAUGCAGGGCCGUCUCUAUAAUUUUAAGGGCCCUUGUGCAAGCAAAAGGGUAAGGGCCCAUCAAAUAUUUUUUUGAUAUGUCAAAUAUAUAAAAAAAAUUAAUUUACACCAUAUGUUUUAGUUUAUAAAAGGUAAUUAUAGUACAACAAAUAAAUAAGUAGAAUAGAAUUAGAAAUUUAGAACCCUAUCACUGAAUACUAAUAACAAAAUUGGUGAAGUCUCGAUCAGCUAUGCUCUUGCUCUUCCUGCUCUAGUGUCUAGUAGUGACAUCGUGUUCAGACGUGUGGUGUUAGCGUGUCAUGGAGCCACAUCGUUCCAUUGGACGAUUGGGCAAUAGGACGAGAAGAUGAUAAAGAGGAACAUUGAUCUGCUAAACUAAUCGAUCAAGCGAGAAUAUGAAGCAACACCAACAAUAUGUGGAUGUGGAUGACGUGUUGAUUAAUGAAUUUAAUUUUUAGAUUAAUUGAUGGAUUUCUAUAGUGUCUGUAUAAGCCUCCAAAAAAAUUAGACAAAUCUAUAUACUAAGUAUUAUAUAUUAUACAUAUAGACUCCUUAACUCCGUGGGCCCCCGACCGUCGCACCGACUGCCCACCCUCGGCCCUGCUAAAAAAUGGUCCAUGACCAGAGCCAUUUUCUUUUCUCCGAGCUCGUUGUAGGCAGUUGCAGGCUUUGCAGCACGCCAGCACAGUCUUCUAACCGCUCACCGCCAUGUUUUAAUCAUCUCUCAAAAAAAACGCCAUGUUUUAAUCCAAAAUAUACAAGCGGGAGCUCAUCAUUCAAUAGUCAUGGGAAUUAUGUUUCGCUGGCUUUCCUUUUCCUAUAUAAAUCUAAAAACGUUAUCCACUUAUUAAAAAACAAAAUCCACAAUGACUGAUUAACAACCUAACCUCACUGAGCUGCUGUGAACUUUCCUCAAGAAACAUUGAUUUAUUCCUUUAAAAGACAAUGAAAGGAAAAGCUGGUUUGAACUCUAACCAGAAUACGUCCUGGCUAGUUGUCUAAGGGUGUGUUUGGUUUCUUGAAAAAUUUCUAGCUUGGCUAGAAUUUUGGCCUAGACAGUUUUAGAUUGCUCCCAGCGAGCCAAUUCCUGAUCAUUUGAUUUGAUUGUUUAUACUGCCUAAGUCUGGUUAGCCUUAGGUGUAUUUGUUUGUCUGGUUUAGAUGCAGUCGCCUCUUCUUUGGUCCUGUUUGGUUACCUCUACUAAAUUUUAGUUAGCUAAAUUGUAGUCACUUUAGUAGCUAAAGUUUCAAACACAUUGACUAAAAGAAGCUAAAAUAGUUUAGCCAAAAAUAACAGGAACCAAACGGGGGCCUUUGAAUCGGAUGCAUUUUGUUGAACAAGCGGAAGGCAUCGACCGCGAGAGUACAUGGCGGCAGCAGCAGCAGCAGCAGCACGAGCAGGGCGAGCAAGGCAAGCAGCAGGGCUAGCACGACGAGAAUGGACGAAGCGCACGCACGCACAAGCAUUGCAAGGCUAGCUCGUCUUCCAUCCCGCGCACGCACGCACGCCGCCCAGGACAAAGCGCUCAUGGUCAUGGAGGUCGCCCCGCUGCAGCGGCACGUCGCCGUCUGUCCGCUCGCUUCCUCAGGCUCCCAUACGCGACCGCGCUCCGUCGAGUGAGCUCGUCGACGCACGACGUACGGCUUUGGCUCCCCGCAUGCCUCACCCAGUCGCAGGCCGUCCUCGGCCACGGCCACGUUGCGGGCGUCGACGAACCGCAGUGCUCAGGAGCCGGUCGAUCACGCCGCAUGACACCUCCGCCGCCGCACGAGACCUCCGACCGGGAGGUGAGGAGAACGAACACGUGGUUGGUUCAGUCCAGGUUUUAGAAAAACGAUCGAUUUUGACAUUCAAUGAAUUAAUCUCCUCGGAAGCAUAGGACACGGAUGACCAGCUCCUUUAUACGGAUGACCAGCUCUUGUCAAGUUGUAACUUAUUUUCAAACAAUCGAUCAAACAAAUCAAAACUGGCUUCAGGGUGCUAGGUUAGGGAUUGACCACCUGACCAGACACACCCUAAUUGCCUGAGUAUGCAUCUAACGAUUCGAUGCAGACUAUAAGUCUACAAUUUAAUAUAUAUGUAGACGCCAAAAAAAACAUAUACUCAUUCUUUGGGAAUGCACACACACACGCAAACUUUACCUUUGUAAAUACCUUAAAAAACUAAGGCGGUAGAUCUCAAAAUUUUGCCUCAUUGUCAAUGGGCACACAUGUCUAUCAUUGGAAGAAUAACCGAUAAAUCUUGAAAUUGCAUCUUGUCAUCGAUGGAUACGUCGCUUGCCAUUGCAAAAAUGAUGUGUGAGGGUUAGCAGUGGGGGUAAGAGGAUUGGAGGAGUGAAGAAGAAGAAGAAGGGUCGGAGGAGGAAGAGAAAUAGUAGAUAGUAAGAUGAGUUCUUAAAUUCUAAUAUGAUUUCUGAUAUUACAAAAUGUGUCUCCUCUUCCUUCUCGACUAAGCCUUAUACUCGUUACAGAGGCACUGCCCCUUUUUACAUAUGCAAGCGGUAGCUUUAGGCCCACUGCUCUCCAAAGAUCUUUGGGUUCGGCUUCUUGGCCCUCUGUUCCCUAGGCUGGGCCUUGGGUGUGUCUUCUUCAUCCUAGGCUUGGUCACGACUGUGGCUGGCAUAACGCCAUUAAAUCAUAUAACUAUUUUAAAAUGUGAGCACCUUAUAUCAAAUUGAGAAUUUAAAUCUAGAUGAAUAGGUUACGCCACAAUAAGGUACACUUAAUCACAAGUAUAUGGUUCCUACAUUAUAUACCAGAAAAAGUGAACAGGACGAGUUCAAGUGGGCAUGACCUCAUUUUACAAAAGAAAGAAAGAAAAGCAUUGAGAAUGUGAUUUAGGGGUGUUUAGUUCCUCUUCUAUUCUAAAAUAUUUUGGGUUUUGAUUCAUCAUUUUGUAUAAUAGAACUAAAUACCAUAUAAAAAUUUUGGCAAAAAAGUGAUUAUUCUCCAUUUUGGAUUUUGGCCUCAAAGAGAGAAAAAAAAAGCCUAAAAGAGCCUCAAGAGGCUCUCAUGAGGGCAAUAAAUUAUACAUUUUGGAUGAAACUAAAUAUAACCCUGAAAAUUUUGGCAUUUCACAUUUCAUGAUUCCAAAGUAGUUAGCAUUUUUUUUUUGACAACAAGUAGUUAGCAUUUUGUAUUUUAUGGAAAACUAAACACCCCUUUACAAGAUUGUUUCGUAUUUUCUAGCACAAGAGGAACCAGCCAAUGACCUGGAAAGCUUCCUGAUGAGUCAUCACUUCCUCCGGGUUGGUCAGCCUAGGUGAGUCAGCACAUACUCCGUAAAAGUUCUCUAGACAUUUUGACGACACCAUGCUUGGAACAUGGACACAAAUAUAAUCUCUCGUAGCAAUCUCAUAGGGAACUAUUCAGUCCCGUUGCAAUUAACGGAUCGGAACGUACUUUUGCUUUGCAAACGUGAAUUAAUUAAACCUGUGCAUAGGCUUCUUCUAGAAUCUAGCUGGAUUGAAGCUAAACAAAUAUAUGAAUUCAUGGAUGCUAGGCAGACUACUAUAAACCAAAGGUGGUUUAAUUUACUGGUUUGGAGCAAAAAGCUAAGCUAACCGAUCACCACUGGUUUCCAAGUUCGCAACCAUUGGUUUUGAGCGAGGAGUGGAAUUUGAACCUGAAGGAGAAUCGAGGGAAGAUAAAAAAACAUAGUCACUUAUAGCACUCACAGUGAAAGACUCUAUCACAGAGUCUAAAAUAAUUAAUUGUAUAUUAUUUAUGGUAUUUUGCUGAUGUGUCAACAUAUUUAUUGAAGAAAGAGGUAGAAAAAAUAAGACUUCAAGUCUUAUUUAGACUCUAAGUCAACAUUGUUCGAGGUAAUAAAUAACUUUAGACUCUAUGAUAAAGUCUGCCCUUAGAUCGACAUUUAUUCUCUUUUUGAAAUAUAUGAAAUGGUGUAGUACUCCCUUAGUAUACAUUUUUUGUUGUUUUGAAUCAAGGUGGAGACAAUUUUUUUAAAAAGACUCCUAUCAAUAACUUAAAAAAUCAUUAGUUUUGAGGCACUAAAAUUAUGUCUAUUGAUUAGUUUUAAAAAUUUCAGUCCCUGCUACAAGAAUGUACAUCUUAUUUUAUGAGAAGUCAAAACAACCUUAAGUUUGACUAAAUUUAUGGAAUAUAUUAUCUAUAUUCAGAUCUUUAGCUAAAUUUAUUAUAAAAAUAUAUCACAUAAUAUCUUUAGCUAAAUUUAUUAUAAAAAUAUAUCACAUAAUUAAUUACGCAUCAUAAUACUUUUUUAUAUGUAUGUAGUCAGAAUUAAGAAUCUUUGACUCUCAACAUACAUCUUUGUGGGACGUAGGUAGUGUUUACUAAAAUUAUUGUUUAGUAAGAAAAUCGAAAUAUUAUAAUAAAAAGCUACUAUCGACGUUGUUUACACGUGCCAUCAUACUAGCUGUACAUAAUAUAAUAAACAAAUUAUAGAUAUAUUCACAAAAAAAAGAAAUUAUAGAUAAUAGAAUCCAAAUAGUCGGAUUCUUGCAAUUCGACCACCAAAUUAUGAGAAUUAUAGUACGCCUGUAACCUACUAUCGGAAAUAUUGGAUCUGAAACACUUAUUGGACCUAUAAUUCAUUUCUAUAAAACAGGCUUCAUUGUUUUAUUGCAAAAUCCAGUUUUUUACAACUAUAGAGAAAUCAAGACCUCAUAAUCUUCGGUAGAUCUAAAGAGACUUAAUUAUAGCGUAUCCUUUUGCAAAAAUAUAAGGAUUGUCAAUAACAAAUUUCUCUUUCAUCCCUAGCCUUCAAGUCAUUUGGUCUAGGAUCCUUUCUGCGGCUGCUAAAUUUAUUUCAAGGCAACAGUUGACUUGUCCAUGGAGAAGCAAAAUAAUAAAGGAGAAAACUUUAUUAUACUACUUUAUUACCCUGAGUACAGUAAUGAUAAACCGCUAGUGGUAUCGCCUGAUGACUCGUGUCUGCAUGCGAUGCCAGAAUUCAAUAACCAACGCCCGUAUCCAUCUGCAUGUCAUUGACCAUAUCUCUCUCUCACCUCUCUCUUCCUGUAUACCGUUGACCCACCUCUCUUGAUAGCUAGCCACGGUUUUGCAGCAAAACACGUGCGCAAAACCACUAACCACGUGUGCGAACGAACCUAGGCGGGGGUAGAGGGGGGAGGCAAUGAGCUCGAUAUUGUUCUACGUUAAGGUCUUGUUUACUUCCGAAAAAUUUUAAGAAAUCGAUAUUAUAGCAUUUUUGUUUGUAUUUGAUAAAUAUUGUCUAAUUAUGGACUAACUAGCCUCAAAAGAUUCAUCUCGUCAAUUUCGAUCAAACGUGCAAUUAGUUUUUAUUUUCGUCUAUAUUUAAUACUCUAUACAUGCGUCUAAAGAUUCGAUGUGACGAAGAAUGUGAAAAAUUUUGCAAAAUUUUUUAGGAACUUAAACAGGGCCUAAAUAAUUGAACGAGAAAGCUAAAACAUGCGUUUAAAAAGGAGGACGUGCUUUAUUUGGUGCUUUUAUAUUACUAGCCGUGCUCACCCGUUUUUUUUUUUUGCAAAUCAUUUAUAAAAUAAAUGUUGCAAUUGUGAACUUGAUAGCUAUGUACAUAAUGCUCAAUCAGGCUCUAUCAGAUCAUUUACAACAUGAAAACAACUAUAAUUUGGUGUAUGAUUAUAUUAACUCAAUCAUUUGGCAGUACGUCUCAGAAUGAAUUAGAUACUCAUAAGGUCUACCAUUCAUUAUAAGUAUGUCAGAGUUCUUGACUAUUUCUCUAAACUUUUUUUUAUGCAUGAGUUUUGUCUUUUACAAUGUGUUUGUUUUUUUGAACGCAAAAAACAUGGGGGAGCUCCCCACGGUGUAUUAAAACUUCUCUUUAAGAGGGCGAAAGAUACAAGGGAGGAGGAGACUUACAGCUGGGAGUUGAGAAGGAACGAAGCAAAAGAACUGUAGAGCCCAAAAGAGGGAGAGCAGUAAACAUAGAAGAAAAGAAAAGAAAAGAAAAGAAGAUUACAAUCCAUCGAGCCACAUAACAACUAAAGCUUUGUCAUUAUCUUUUAGGCAUUUAGCUUGAAGGGUAGCUUCAUCCUUGAAAUUUCUGAGCCAUCUACUAAAAGUAGCAUGGACACCAUCAAAGACAAGUCUAUUUCUGACUUUCCAUAAUUCCCAGGUUGCAAUGAGAAAAAUUUUAAUGAAGUAUGGAAGACAUAAAUGUUGCCUAGUGUGCACAAUCCUCAUAUGCCAAUGUUAGGGAACUGAUCCAAAAGGCUUUCACCAGCCCAGCAGUCUUUCUAGAAGAGCACCGAGGAGCCAUUACCAAGUUAACAUGUGGUGAUAGAACCGUACAGAUCCUUUAACCUAAAGAUAUCUUUCCACCAAAACGACCCAACUUCUCUGAAAGCAUGUUUAAAAAGCAGUGCAUCAUUAUGUAAGAGGAGGUUUUUGAUACCCACCCCCCUUUAUUCUUGGGUCUUUGAGCUAGAGGCCAGGCAACCAAAUUACCACCUUUAUUUUUCUCAGAAUUCCCUCUCUAAAGGCAUUGCUUUCUAAUCCUAUCAAUAUCAUGUGUCACACCUUUAUGCAGCUUGAAAGUACACAUGACAUAGGUAACAGUGGGAGUAAAAAAUGUGUUGAUAUAUUCCACCCUUCCAGAGUAUGACAAAAGAGCAGAAGAAGUAGAUAGAAAGUUUCUAAUGUAAAUAUAUCAUUGUAUGUGUCAUUUUAAUUAUAUGCUUACAUGAACAAAUUAAUCUAACAUAAGAUUAAAAGGGGCUUGAAAUUUUUUAGCUCUAGGAAGGGGCAAGACCUUGUUGUCCCUAGCUAGCUUCGUCCAUGAUCCUCUAGUCAGCAUCCAUCAUUGUAUCCUCAUUGUUAGGAGUGCAUUCUUAAUUAAUUAACCAUUUUGCAUCCCUCCUGCCUUUGGAUGUUGAUGGCAAUUGAGCUCGAUUGAUAAGUCUUGUUGUAUCUAGAGUUCAUUCUAGAAGAGCGAGUGGCAAUGAUAGGGGAGAGGGACGAUGAUGAAGAUUGAAGAGAAGUGAUUUAUUUUAUGGGAGCCAAUUCCAAGUACGAGAGUAGGUUCUUUGUUUUCGGGUAUGGGAACAACCCUCACAAUGUAUAGGAGCAAGUUCCACCAAUAUAUAAAAUCACCCACUAUGAACGUUUAGAUGACCAAAGUUGGAGUAGCUAGAAGAAUGUUACCUCAGUAAAAUAUAUAUAUCUUCACAAACAAAAUGCAUGCAACGUCUGAAAGGUACUAAACAAUGCAUGAGGUGACAAUUUGUAGAUUCGUUGGCCGCUAGUAAUAACUUUGGUACAAUGCCCUGUAUAUAUACAUAAAAAAUGCAAACCAUGAGACAGAGAAGCGUAGAAGGAUCACCACACGGCUACAACAGAAAGCAUGCCAAGUUGGAGUACUUUCCACGGUAAGGAAGUAGAUAUGUACAUGCUUCGCUUUGUCUCAUGUUUUUUGUCGCAUUAACUAAACCGUGUACAAUUAUCCAUAGCCAUCAUGAGUGAUGCAUUAAACCAACGGUUGAGCUCAAAAACCAUCGAACAACACUGCCCCCCUUAUUGUGGUUUUGCAUGUGAGUGCUCUUAAAGCCUAAAGUCAGUGUAGUAGUGGUGGAUGACAUGACACCAACAAAGAAUAAUCCAAACCUAUAGGUAAUCAAGUCAUGCUAGAUCAGGUGAUUCUGGAUGAAGUCACGCGCCAAAAACUAAACACAAUGUUAGAGUGUGUGUGUGUGAGAAGUGGAAAGGGUGGUAUAUUUCUUGAAACAUAAAAACAUGUAGUGAUGUUGCAUGUUAUGCCCUAUCUAGUAGAAAUAGAAGGUUUCUUAUGAAAGUAUAUCAUUAUAUGUGUCAUUUUAUAUGCUUACAUGGACAAAUUAAUCUAAAAUGAGAUAAAAAGGGGGUUCAGUUUUUUUAGGUCAAGCAAAGGGGCAAGGCCUUGCUAACCCAGCUAGCUCUAUCCAUGAUCAUCUAGUUAACAUCCAUUGCUACAUCUUCAUCGUUAGGAGUGUCUUCUUCAUCGACCAUUUUCUCCCUCUUGGCCCCAACCACUACUGACAAAAGGCUUGCCUUGAGCUCAAUUGUAGGGUUUACUACCUUUGGAGUUCAUCCUACAAGCGCAAGUGGCAACGACAGGGGAGAGAGAUGAUGGUGAAGAAUGAAGAGAAGCAUUUUAUUUCAUCAGAGCCGGUUCGAAAUAUGGACAACCCUCACAGGGUAUAUAUAAUCGCCCAUUGCGGAUGGCUAGAUGCCCUAACUAUGAGCAUCUAGAAGAAUUUUGUCUUGGCAAAGUGUAUCAUGAUGAGCGAAAAGCAUGCCACAUGGGUGUGGAAAUAUUAAAAAAUGCAAGAGGCAACAAUUUCUAGAUUUGUUGGCCGCUAGUAGUAAUUUGGUACAUUGCCCCAUGUAUACAAACAAGAAACUAAUGCAACCCAUGAGACAAAGAAGCGUAGGACUACCACGCGGCUAUAGCAAAAAGCAUGCCGAGUUGGAGAGCCUCGAGUGGUGGCGGGGUUUUCCCCAAUAAGAAAGUAGACAUGUAUAUGCUACACUUUUGUCUAAUGUUUUUGUUGCAUUAACUGAACCGUGCCAUAAUUAUCUGUAGCCAUCAUGAAUGCCAUGUUAAACGAUACGGUCGAGCUAGAGCUAAAAUUAAUGGUCCUAGUCAUUCAAGCAAAUAGGGCAGUAUUGAUUCUUACAAAAUAGUAGCAAAAUGUGACAAUGGUUCAAAACACCUACUAUAACUUCAUCAAAUAUUACCCAAACAUCUAUAAGGUGGGUAUACUCUCGUCAAAUAAGCAUGCCAUUUUCGCCAAAGAAAACAAUAUACAUUCUUAAUAAUCAAUUAUCGGUCGUAGCCUCAAGGUUAUGAAACUUCACGUAGCUAGCUAUGGUGUGAACCGCCAGGCCUGUGAAAUUAUAUCGUGAACAUUAUGCGAGUUUCACGAAUUUUAGAGGUACAAAGACAAUGAGUUCACCAUCAUAACUUAAAAAUAAAUUUUGGCAAAAGUAAAAUAAAAAUUUAUACCAAGAGUUCUUGGGUCAACCCAAACGUAGGAAUCCGGAGGGAGGAUUUCGUAUGCAUCAUGGUAUCAAGAGACGUUGUGACAGAUCUGAUAGCGAACGGCGAGUCAACUUGUGAAGCAACUGUAGCAGAACCUUACUACAAACGGUUGACAAGGUCAACGUGACUGUCACUUACAGGUUGACCACUAGCACAGGGAUGUCCAUCCAACAGUGGGGGUCUUUUCUGUAAUCGCGUUCUCAAAAGAAAAAACCCAAAACCAGGGGCAGCCCACCCCGGGCAGCUGUUUUCCCAGUCCAGUCCUCCACAGGCGGUAUCGGAUCUCCUGUGCGCACCUGACACCCCCCAACCAACCCGAAACAGUAGCACGCGCACGUAAAAGCGGGGAGCGCCGCCCCGCAGCGGAUCCCAGUCGGUUUUGCGGGACUGUGGGCUCCCACCGCUGGAAACGGUGAGGCGCGGGGGGGCAAAACCGGGGUACCCGUGCCGCUGCCGCGCCCGGAGGCGGUCGCAGCCGCACGGGCGAAACCGGCGGCGACGAAUCGGCGAUCGCCCACCCAGCUCCCCCCCCCCCCCCCCCCCCCACAUAUAAACCGCACCCCACCUCGCUGCCGUUUUCCCACGGCGCAUCGUGUACAACAGCGGCAGCACGAGCGAGAGCGACAAGUGGUUUAGAGUAGACCGGGUGGAGUAGAGAUUGGCGGUUUGCCGGCGAUGGAGAGGGGCGACGGGGGAGGGGGAGGGAUGGCGCCGCGGGGCGGCGGGGUGGGGUCGGCGGCAAUGCUGGGGCUGGACAUGCACCGCGCCCCGCAGCAGAUGCACCCGGCCGCCGCGUUCCAGCACCAGCAGGGUGGGUUCCAGCUGCAGCAGCAGGCGGCGCCGCCGCCGCCGUCGUCGUUCUCGCCCUACUCCAACACGUCGUCGUCCAGGGUCGUGGUGAGCGCGGCGGCGGUGGGGGCAGGGCACGACGACGACGUGGUGGGCAACGGUGGCGGCGGGAAGGGAGGAGUGGUGGUGCCGCAGCAGCAGGCGCAGCAGAUGGCGUCGGCGGCGUGCCCGUGGACGAGGAUGAAGUGGACGGACGCCAUGGUGCGCCUGCUCAUCGGGGUGGUGUACAGCGUCGGGGACGAUGGGGAGGGCGUGGCGACGGCUGGCGGCGCGGGGGCAGGCAGGGCGGGCAGGGCGGGGCACGGGCACGCGGCGGCGGCGCAGCAGCAGAAGAAGGGCAAGUGGAAGUCGGUGUCGCACGCCAUGAUGGACAAGGGCUUCGUGGUGUCGCCGCAGCAGUGCGAGGACAAGUUCAACGACCUCAACAAGCGGUACAAGCGCGUGGUGGACCUGCUGGGCCGCGGCCGCGCCUGCCGCGUGGUCGAGAACCACGCGCUGCUCGACACCCUCGACGACAUGACGCCCAAGGCCAAGGACGAGGCGCGCAAGCUGCUCAGCUCCAAGCACCUCUUCUUCCGCGAGAUGUGCGCCUACCACAACAGCGCCGCCGCCGCCGGGGGAUCGCACCUGCCUGCGCACGCCGGCGGCGGGGACGCCGCCUGCCUCCACCACCCGGCGCCGGUGCCCGUGGCCGCCGCAGCCUCGUCCGCCGCCCGCCACGCCUACGCGCAGCAUCAGGCGGCCCCGUCCCCGCCGGGGAUGAAGGACUCCUCCGCCGACGUCGCGGACGACGACGACGACGACGACGACGACGACGACAGCGACGACGACGAUGCCGUGAGCGACAACAGCGACGAGGACGUGGACGACUACGAUUUGGAGGAGGAGGACGGCCACAUGUACCCCAGCAACAACCGCCCCAGUCAUCGUCAGCACAGCGGCGGCAAGCGCGGGCGUGGCGAGGACCUCGACGACGAGGCGGAAGGCGGUGGUACUGGUGGGAGAAGCGCGAGGAGGAGGAGGCGGCGGAAGAAGGCGGCGCGGGUGGCACCCGACCCAUCGGCGAUGCUGCGGCAGGUGAAGAGCGAGCUCGCGUCCGCGACCGCGGCGAUGGACCCGCAUCAGGUCCGAUCCUGGAUGCGUCGCCGCGCGCUGGACGUGGAGGAGCAGCAGAUCCGCCUGGACUCCCACGCGUGCUACCUGGAUGGGCAGCGGCUGAAAUGGGAGCGGUUCCGCGACGAGAAGGAGCACGAGCUGCAGCGCGCGCGCCUGCAGAACGACCGCCACCGCAUGGAGAGCCGGCGCCUGCUGCUCAUGCUCCGCCACAAGGACAUCGAGCUCGACAUGGCCGAGGUCAACUCUUCCUCCGUCGACCACAACCCUGGCGCCGGCGCGUCGCCGCUCGCAGCACACCAGCAGCAGCAGCAGCAGCAGCCGAUUGGGUCCAGCCCCAGCCCGUCCACCGCCGGACACCCAAACUAGCUGUCGUGCAGUCGUGCGUGCCUUUCCAUUCCAUUACCGGUAGCAGUCAGUACUCAGUAGCU